rnacentral:lncRNA from 1 species
AACACAAGAGGUAGAUGCUGAGUGUUUCUUUCUUCAAUUGGUUUAUUUAGUUUUGACCACCAUACUAUUACUGUGUUUUUUUAGUGUUCAAGUUGGAGGAUAAGUGCCCUUGAAUUGUUGGAAUGAUGUAUAACCGGGUGAUGAAGCACCCAGUACAUCCCUUUUUGAAUUUUCUUUUCUUGUUGAUUCCUAAGUGUGCAUGAGUGUCGCCAGAAAAAAUCUUACUAAAAAAAGAAUGUGGAAAGAGAAAGUCUCAGCCUCUACAAGCUUCUUUUCCCUACUGCAUCAUUGACUACAGUAUGAUGCACUAUGAUGACACUUAAGUGAGUUUUAGCUAGACUCACUAAAAGAAACAUGAUUGCUGCAUUGGCUUACAGUCCUAUCGUUGUCUUAUGGAUGCAAAAGGUAUCAAUAGUUUUAAAAUCUCUAAUUUGUAGGUUAUUUACUCAUGUUCUUUUCUUGAUUCACUCACAUUUGAACUUGCUACUCUAAUAAUUUUUUAUUAUUUAUUCCAAUUGUUGCAGACUGAACAGGAAGUGUUCAUGGAAUCACUUAUUUGCAGAAUGGACAGUGAUUGCAAUAAACUUCUAAAAUGUCAAAUUGAUAUAGAUUGCAAGAAAACUUUGUACUUUGAUUUUGAGGUAGUCUCUUGUUUGGGUACCAUAUUCUGUAUUGAUGUAUCAUUCUUGCUGAAUUAUUGGUCUGUAUCAGAAUUCAUAUUGGUUUUGUCAUGUGAAGCAUAUGCUGGCAACAAAUGCUUCAAAUGGUCAGACAUAUUUGAGUAGGUAAAAUAAUUGUUAAUGCUAUAAAUGUUUUGGUUGAAUUGAAGGAUUUAGGUACUUGCUACCAAUAUAAGUUGAUUAAAUUUUAGUAUGUCGUGUAAACUACUUCCAAUGCAGAUAACAAAUAUGACAUAUUAAGGUUACACAAUUGUAGGAUUCUCUAAGUACAUGUGCACUUCUUAGUUGAUCAUGAACAGUAAAUUUCAUGUAAAUUCGAUAUAUAUGACAGUGGAAAGCACAUCUGAGAAAUGUGAUAGACUUCUUUGCUCUGACUAUUAAGUAACUAGUUACCUUUAGACUAGAGUUUUUGAUUCUAUGCUACUAACUUGAGAACAAAUUUGUUAUUUUCAUUGUAUAUGAUAUAAUAAACUUCUUUGCCAACUUGAAGCAGCGAUUCACUUUUGCAUGAUCCUUGAUUUUUACGCUAGUAACCGGAGAACGAAUGUGUUACAGCCAUUGUUGUAAUAAAUAACGACUAAUUGCUCUCAAGAAUUCCAUGAAUGCUUUGAAUUCUCUAAUCCUCUAAUAAUUAUGUAAUGAAAUUCCAAGGUGGUCUGUAGCUGCAACUUGGCUCUCAUAAUUAUAUAAUGAAAUGAAAACAUCUGAUAGGUUUUUCCGAUUAUGAUUUUGCAAGAACUUGUGCUACUUCUUAGUAGAGGGUUACAGUGCAACAGGCUGGUGCCAACAUGAUGCAAUUCUUGAUUAUUUGGUGGUGCCAACUGCCAAGUUGAUUGAGCAUCUACUAUGCUUUUAUGGCAUGAAUAGUGAUAUGCUGAAGCCUUCUUGCUUAUAUUGUAAAAGUUAAUGCAAACUAUGUUUUUGUAGUAAAGAUAUAUUGGCUUUUAAAUUAUUUUCCUAAACAUAUUCAUUUAUAUGGAUAUCAAAUAUAUGAUUUUUUUUCGCUACCUUGACCACCUAUCAACCUGUUUCAUUUGUUACGUUGUCCACUUGGUGACUUGUUAUUGCUAGUCACUUGGUAUGAUGUCCUCAGUGCCCUUGAUAUGUUGUUGAGGGUGACAGUAGUAGCAUUUUAAAGAUGUGGGUUGCUUGCUCAUAGAUUCACACCAUCUUUCUCAAGAAAUGUUAAUUGGUACUCUUGUCUUGCAAAACCUUUUUUCAUGAGUUACUGAAAUAGUGGAAUGCUGUAUUGAAACCGGCAUCUCUAUCAGUCAAUAUUGAAAUACUAUUAUUUUUAUUUUAAGGACAUUGUUCUUUACUCUUUAUUCUUUUGUUCGUAAAUCAGGUUCAACAACAAACUUCGGAUGCUCUGCAGCACACUGCACUGAAUGCUUAUAGGAGUGAUUUCCCAACCACUUACUCCUCUGGAAAAUCACCAUUUCCAGCUUUAGAUGCUUUUGUGGAAUUCAUAGCAUCUUCAGGAAAUGUUUUAGGUAGUUCUUUCUUUCUGUGUUCUUGAUUAUAUUUCUUGUAGAUAACAUUGAACAUUGGUAGUACACCUGGAAUUUUCACUUGUCUGUCUCACGACCACAUGUUAUGUACUAUGCUUAACAUUGAGCAUUGGUAUUACACCUCGAUUUAGCAACUGUUCUGUCUCAUUAUCACAUGUUAUGUGCUAUGCUGGUAGCUUUCCAGGGCCCAUUCUGUAUCAACUCGGGCAACACUAUUCUUUCUAAUUGAUAAAGUCACCAGGCAAGGUGCCACUGCUUGCUUCUUUUAUCUGCUUGUAACAUAAAUGCUGUUGAAAUUUUUUCUAUAUGUUUACUGUUUACAAAACCUAUAUAUACCAGCAUUGUUCAGCAUGGCUUGGUAUGACGUGGCACAAAUAUCAUGCUACCGACAAACUAACAUGGAUGCCAUAUGUGGUACUUAAAUCCUAACUAAAUUUUGUAGUCUGAAAAUUAUUUACCAAUUUGAGUUUCUCGAGUAAUGCAUUUCAUUUGGAGAGCAAUGACUUGCAAGUGUUCAUACUUGUAGCCAUGGUUUGCCUUACCGGUAUACUAACAGGCCAUCGAUACGAUAUGUGCCGAUGUAUCGACACAUGGUAUGAUUGGGGUGUACCAACAGAUCGGUAUGUACUGCCCAUACCGAUCCCUUGUUGGGCAGGUAUGUGCUGCCUUUGUCGGAUGGUACGUUAUGGUAUGGUGAACCUUGCUUGUAACAUUAAAGACAUUUAUGGUAAAAAUGAGAUUUAUUUGAUACGUCCAUGUUCUUUGAAUAAAUGUGUGAAUUUAAUGCUUGCAAUGCGAUGCAUUUGUAUGUUCAAGAUUCAUAGAUCAGGAGAUGUUGGAAGUAUCUUUGGUUCCUAAACAUAUUAGCAAUCUUAUAAGCACUGCACUGAGGCAACAGGGUCAUUCCUUUGUACACCUCGAGUUUAGCGUAUAACAAAUUUUGGCACACUGUUUAUAUGAGUUUAGGAUUGCAACUCAUUUUCUACCUUGCAUAUUGAUCUUUUUUCUGUGUGAAGAGUUCUUUGAAAUUGGUAUAAAUAGUCUUUAAAAUCUUUGAAAAUUUUGACUUAUUUUUUUCCUGUAGAAUUAAACUGGUGCAGUGAUUUUUUCAUAUGUUCAAAUUUUUUGGGUUAUGUUUUGCUUACUUGUAAUUGAUUUACUGUUAGUUAGUUAUGGUAGCAUAAGUUUGAGCAUAUUAUUUACAUUGACACUUGUUUUUGUCUGAUUGCACUUUUUGAUUUAUUUUGAACUGGCUUAUGUUGAUCAUUUGUGUGAUUGUAGGUAAAAUACGAAGUUGGUAUUGGUUUUCAGCACAUGGCUUAAUUAUUUACAGUAUGUUGAGAAAUAGAUACUGUGAGCGGAUUGGUAGAGAACACAAAAGCAAUCAUGGUAGUCUUUUGGACUCAUAUAGACUAAUUUCUGUAGCGUUGCUUUACAUUCAUGUGAAUGUAUUUUUUUUAGUAGUCUUCCCAGGUAAUGAUACCACCAAAGCAGUACAAACCUUGAAUUGCAUCUUUGGGCUUCUAAUCUAUGAAUAUUUCAUCUUUGAUUUCUUGAACAUACUGGUUACAUUGGCACUCCCUAUACCCUCAUUAGUGGGAAUCUUGUGCUCUAAGUACGUUUUCUUACUGAUUUCCGUGCCUAAGGAUGUCAGAUACCUUGUGUUUCCCUAGGACAGCGAAUUUUUAGCUCUAAAAUUGUGGUAGAAGCAUUAAUGGAUGCAUUCUAUAAAAAAUGAAUUUGUUUAUGUGACACUUAUUAGUGUUUGGUUUCUGAUCAUGCUUUCAAGUUGUAUUGGACAAGUAUAUCUGAAAUUGCUUUUACAAGAACUUAAGUUGGUAAUAAAAUGGUAAUUCUUGUCAUUUCACAAAUUCAAUAGGUACAUGGAUAGUUUAAUUUUUCAUCAUCCUAGUUCACCUUUUUUUUGCACCUUUGAUUUAUUUGUCCAUUUAAACUGUCAUACCUUCUCUAAGAUUACUUUUGUUUUUUGUUCAUUAAAAUACUCAAAGAUCGUCCUGGAACCUUGUUUCAUCGUUUCCAAUUCCUAUAAAUGAAUUUACUCCAAUGCGCAUGUAAUAUUAUGACUUAACAUCAUUCCCUGUUUACUUACAAAUUAGUUUAGAAAUUCUGGACAUAGUGUAUCACAUCAUAAAUUUACUUUGGUAGAUACAAAAUAUUAGGAGCCAGGCUACAGUAGUAUUACUGCACUCCACAAUUAUUACCAUACAAUUUCAAGCAUUGAAUCAACUUGGAAGAGGUCUUGAUGCAGGAUCAUUUUGAUUUAUUUUUGUCUUGAAUAUUCUUUAUUAGUUUAGGGUGUCUUUUGCAAGUUUUAUAGUUUUCAUAUGCUAGUACCUUAUAUGAGCUUACAUUCAUUACCAAUAUUGUCCAAAGAGAAGAAAAACAGAAGCCAAAUAGAAAAGAGAAGGUGAUAAGAUUCUAUUAAGAAGGAAGUCUAGUAAUAAAAAAUCCUAUCAACUACGAAGGUUAUUUGCUAAAACAACCAUAAAAAUUCAUUUUUCGAAGGAGGAAAGAAGAAUGAUUCAUGUGCUUUCAUAUAUGGGAUGUAAUUUCCUUAGUUGUAUUUGUUUAUUAUUUUAUUAUUUUUGUUUUCUUUGUAUAAAUGGAGUCUAUAUAAAAGGGUUAGGAAUUGUAACUUCUUGUAUGAUCAGAAGAUAGUUGAAUGACUCAAUUUUUUCCUCACAUGUGAUUGAAGUGGGUCUAUAUUUUUUUUAUGAUGGUGUGAUUCCAUCUCAUAUAUGACAUUUAUAGAGAUUGAGGUUUUCAUCUUGGAAGUUAAUCAUUGAGCUUGAGUGAGUCUUACUCUUAUCCUUUUCUUUUAUCAUAUCUAAAUUUUUUACUUUUCUACUAUAAAAUAUAAAUUAUUAAAUUCUAGAAAAAAAAUUAUUUUCUUUGCCCGUCUAUACUUUUAUACUAUGUCAUCUUGGUAUUAGAGGACAUCAUUAGAUUUAGUAGCAGAGCAAUCAUCGUACGACUAAUUAUAGAUUACCCCCUGUAGUUAGUCCUCUUUAGUAUUUCGGUCUCUAGACUUAAAAAAUUUACAUUAGAAUCCCUAUAGUUAUGAAAGUGAAACGUCUAGCUCCAUUUAUCGUAACACUAUUGGUUUUAUUGACGGAAGUACGAAAAUGUUGGGCAAAAAGGUAAUUUUAACAUCUUUUUGUGAGUGAUUGUAGGUAAAGGGAGAGGAGGAAGAUGACGACAGAGAGCGGCGUCGCUCUGCAUUGGCGUCGACGCAGAUGCAGAACGACGAUCUAUUACGAGCCCGAUGCAUCCUUCUUUUGUUGGGCCUACGACGUGUCCGUUUAUGGCGCCAACUUCCUCGUGGCUCGCCACAUCUGCCAGGUCACUUGGGCCACUUGCUACUCCCUCGACGUUGGUUGUGGCAUCUCCGGCACAGGUCCGUUGGGGGUUCGCCCCCUUUGCUGUAACACCCCUGAUUAAUCCUACAUCGAAAGUAGGUAAGACUAAGAUUAGCAUACGAGGGUCUGAUGAGUGUAUUACUAUCAACUUCACCUUAAGCAUGUUGACUAGUGGUUUAAUUUAAACAAAGUCGAUAGACCAAUUAGCUUAUCAGGCUUGGGUCAUGAUAUUGGUAUCAUAAUCAACCUAGUAUUUGAGCAUGGUGAGAGGGCUCGAGUAAGAAAGGGCUACUCGUGGAUGAAGUUAGAGGACUCGUCAUGGCAUAGAGCCACCACUAGGCUAUGCCUCACAUGCACUAUGUUAGGGCUUGAUCGAUUAGUCUCACUACUGGCCUAAGUAUUUUGGCCAGUAGUUUGGGCCAAACGAAAUUGAUAGGCCAGUUAUCCUAUUAACCCCAGGUCGUGACAUUUGAUAUCAGAGUCGACCUAGUAUUUGGGCAUAGUGAGGGGGCUUCUCGAGUAGAAAAGGAUUGAUUACCUAUGGAUGGAGUCAGAGGACUCGUCACGACAUAGAGCCACUAUUGGGAUACGCCUCACAUACAUCAUGUUAUGGUUUGAUCUGGACUAUGCUAGGCCUUGACGAGGACAUCAAGCUCUUGAGUGGGGGAGAUUAUAAUACCUCCGAUUAAUCCCAUAUCGAAAGUGGGCAAGACUAAGAUUAUCUUAUAAGGGUCUGAUCAGUAUACUACUAUCAAUUUUCACUUGAGUUUUUUGACUAGUAGUUUAGGUCAAACGAAAUUGAUAGGCCAGUUAUCCUAUCAAGCCUGGGUUAUGACAUAUGUGCUUCCUGCGAUCCCGAUCCUACUGCCUCCCCUUCGUACUUCAUGGCCUCAUCAUCAUCUAGCUCUUACCUCUCCACAUCCGAGUCCACGGUGGUGCCAUGGGCGAAGAAGCUCGCAGAUCUUCGACGGAUGGUCACGAAACAGUGGUGCGGGGUGGUUAAGGAGAGGUUGGAGUCCGUCCUGCUAGGUUGGAGCCAAAGGAUGGGGUUGCGGAGUGGAUGACAAUGCAUGGAAGUAGCGGCCCGCGUGGUUGGCCCGUAUUAGGAAACGAUUGCGGCCCUGCCACUAUGGGUGGCCCUCGUUGUCGUGUUGUAGUUCGCCAUCAAGCAUUGGGAGUAGGAUGCGACAGCGGAAAUGGGCAAUUGGACAACACUCCGACAACUCACUAUCGUUGCAUUGCGAAUCGCCUGAGUCGCCAACGCAAAUGCUGAGCGGUGCCGAUGUAGAGCGUCAGCAUUUGCGUCGUUCUCUUCUCUCCCUUUGCCUCAACUCUUGUCGUCGCUCUCCUUUAUCCACAACAGCUAUCUGUGGCCCCCAUCGGCGUCAUCAUUCGCCACCAUCGAAAAUGUAAUUGGGACAUUGAAAUUACUUUUUUGCCUAUCGUUUUUGUGUUUUUGUCAGUAAAACUGACGGUGUUAGGGUAAAUGGAGUUAGAUGUUUCACUUUCAUAACUAUAUGAUUCUAAUGUAAAUUUUUUGUCUAGGGACUGGGAUGUUAAAGUAGUAUAACUAUGGGGGGUAAUAUGUAAUUAGCACAUCAUUGUAUAUUAAAGGUCCAACAUUGCUAUAACCUAUAAUGAUAAUGAUUUUGUAAUCACUAGCAGCUACAUGGCUAAUAGGGUUAUUAACAUAGUUAAAGAGUUAGUAUACCUUGCAAUCAAAUCUAAUUUUAAACAUUAAGAGAACCUUCUUUUAGGAAGGAUUAUAGUGUUUAGUAGAAUUCCAUAAGGCCUUCAUAGUUGGUCACGAUAAUUCUAUAUCUUAGAAAGUGCAAUUUAUAAGUUAUCAGAAAUAUGGAAUGUCACCUGAUUUAAAGAAACUCAAGACUUUCUUACAAAAGGAAUUUGUAUUCUUCUGAUUGACUUUUAAAUGAGGCCCAUAUGUAUAUAACCUGCUACAUCAACAAUAUGAAACACAUCCUUACGAAUGGUUCUAAUGAGGCAUAAAUAUGCCACAAAUUUGGAAGCCGACAUCUGUCUAUAAUUUUGCUGAUUUUAUCUUGUAAAUAUGAUUUAAAAUGUCAUAACAUGUUUCCAAUUAAAGAAUGGAACAUUAUUUCCAAGUGAACAGAGGAUGGUUCUGCUAUUGUUCAAUGUCUUUCUGCAAUAUUGUUGGUUGUGGGAUGGCGUAAAACAAAGGGAUGCUCCUCCUAUCCUUGUAUGGGCCCCUUGGCUCUAAAAUGUGAUAUUGGAUUAUUGUAAAUUACAAGAUCGGUAAUAUUGGAUUACAAAUUUGUUAUAUAGGAAGCAAUAAUAUAAAUAAUGCAGGUAUUAUUGUAGAUAAAGGUCAUAAGGACAAUAUUGUAGAGGUGAAGAGAUUUAGGGAUAGAUUAUAGCAUUAAAAUUUGGUGGUUAGUAUAUGUAGUGUGACGAAAAGGUAGUCGAUUCUAAAUAGUUAAGUUAUUAUGGUUUGUUAUCAUUGCUCUUGUUGUUUGGUUAUGUGCAUGUGUGAUAAGGUUUUUGAAGGCUUAAGAUACCACUUAAUGCAAUUUUUUUAAUUUUCUUUAUGCACUAGUUGUGGAUAUUAGUUACUACAACUGUUGUUCUUUUCGGUUCAGUUAUGUAUAUCGCUGAUCUCCAUAGAGCUAUUUAUUACCAGAAGUGUUACGACCCUGAUUGUAAAGGUAUGGUGCAUUUCACAUUAUGGUGAUUGUUCAUUAUAUUUUAGAACUUGCAUAGAUCUAUUAAACAGGUCACUUUACAUUGCGGAAUGAAUUAAUUAUAUCAGGUUACCGGUCUCCUUUGCGGCCAUUACCACAUGAUGUGAUCCCCAGUGAUAUUUUACUGUUCGAUUCGACUCAGAGAAUAAAUUAUAGGGAAGAUUUGGACACCAAUUUCGGUCUUGAACAUGAUGGAAGUCACAUGGAACAUUAUUCAUGUGAUGGUGAUGAGUUGGUUACUGAUAGCUGCAACAUGGAAAGCAGCUGGUGGCAGGAAGCCAUGACAUAUGCAGAUCGCAUUGAGAAUAUGAAAAAUGCACCCGAAUUUAAAAUAUUGGUCAGUAUAUGUUAUUUUCGGUUGCUUUUUUAUAUAUCUGCAUUUCCUUUUAUAAUAUAUGAACAUGGCAUCUAACAAUUAAAGUCCUUAUGAUAUAUUAGUUCUUUUUCUGCAUGAACUUGUUAUGCAAUGAUGUAGAAUUCUCUUAGCCAAGUGCAGUUGUUUUCUUGAACAUUGAGGUAGGUAGUUACUAAAACUGAUAUGAAUCUGUCGUGGUCAAAAGGAUACGUUGAUAUCAUUUAUUUGGUCCUCAAUUGCUUAAAUGUGUAUUUGUGAAGAAGCAGCGAGUGCACUUUCCUUGCCUCCAUGUACUGUACUAAUGAACUACAGUAUAGACUUACCAAAAAAAAAAUUGAACUACAGUAUAGUAUGCAACUACAGUAUAGUAUACUGAUAUCAUCGUUACUGAUAAGGAAACAUGGGUUGAUUAAAAUUUCAAAGGUACAUUUUCUUAUCAGUAUUUUGGGAUAUCAUCGUUUCUGAUUUCUUGCUAUAAUUUUUGUGAUGUGAAGCACAUGGAUGCAACUCGUGGUCCUUAUAUUGUGUUCUUUUUUAUUGUGUACUAAGCAGAACGAGGAAAAUGUUGUAGAUUGCAGUUGGUGGAUGGAUGUGGAAAAGCUGGCAUCACAGGUUGAAGGACAGCUUGGGUGAUCCAUGGCUAAUAGUUUGUUAUCAUGUUAUGUACUAUAGCUAAUGGGCUAGCCUAAAAGUAUUAUGUGGGCACCUGAUUGAUUUCGCAUCUUAUCUUCCCAUUCUGUAUUUCUCCGAGCAGUUACGACACGGAGAGUCACCACUAUAAGAUCAUGCUUAAACAAAAGGAAGUUGCAGUGCUUGUAUGUUAUGCACUUGGGAUGAAUAACUUGUCUAUCCAAGUGAUGGAUAUUGAUCAUGCUGAGCACGAAGGAAUGCAUAUUGUUUAUGUUAUCCCGCUGCAUGUAAUUAGUUUUCUUAAAGAAUUAGGUUAAUUAUCUUUUAUAGAUCCAAGCGUUUGUAUAUCCAAAGAAACAGUACGCACAAAAGAUCUUAUACCACAAAGAUGUGCUAUAUAUUUACAGAGCGCAUCCGUUGUGUAAUACUCGCGUUCCUUCGCUUCUCUCUGCGCCGUACGUACGUAUUACGAGUGGGGAGAGAUUUUGCUGCUGCUGCUGGUGUUGCCGUUACCGUGGUUAUUACUACUACCAUUGCAAUUUGAAGGCACGGUUAGGGAGUAUUGUGUUGUGGUGGUCUUGCGACGGCGAAGAUACAACGCGAAGCGAAGAGGGCGGAAGGGAGAUGGGAUCACUUCUCGGCGACUGGCCGUCCUACGACCCCCACAACUUCAGCCAACUCCGCCCCGCCGAUCCCUCGGCCCAACCCUCCGUAUGUGUUUCUCUUUCCCAAACCCACGCCCCGCCCCGCCCCCCCUUCGAUUCCUCGUCUCCACUCAUACUGUCGCGUCGUUUCCCUCUGUGAUCUUGUUUCUUUCUCCUUACCGAACCGCUUCGGAAUUGCUGUUUCUGCCCCGAUUUGUUGUUGGAUCAGAUCAUCCAGUUGUUAUCCCCAAUUAGUGAUCCUGUCUUCUCCGCUUUACUUUUAUGUAUCUCUAUGGACCGGGUCAUGUUUAUUGAUAUAAGUAUGCUCUCGAUCCUCUCGGUUUUCUUAUUCUGAUUGGUUUUGUAUAUCCUAAUGGUUUGGAGAGAUUACUGCUAGGUUUAGAUAAUUGGGCAUAUAAUUACUUGAAUUGAGCGCACGCUUUGCUGCACAUUCGACUCUGAAUUAAUUGAUAAUUGGUCCUAAUGUCUCCCUUUUGGUGUUUUGUUUCAGAAACUUACGCCUGCAACUUAUCAUCCUACUCAUAACAGGACUCUUCCACCACCAAACCAGGGUACUGAUACUGCACUUGGUCUUACUUACAGUUCAUACAUUUUAUGUUACGAUCAAUUUUCUAAAUCCCUAAUGGAGGAUACGCAAUUUUCUUCAGUUGCUUGCCUAUCGAUACAGUUUUUUAACACAAAUAUUGAGAACUCAAAGAAUCAAUCAAUCUUCUAUCGCUAGUAGAGGUUGUUGGAAAUGAUUGUUCAACAUCAUUUCUGACUGUGGACAUGAUUUUUCUUGAUUUGAGUGCUUAAUCACUCAAGAGUUUGAGAACAUGCAAAUAUUCUAAUGCCAACUUCUUUGCAUCUCCUGACUCUUCUCUGGCUUCUCUUUUCACUGUUCUACCUUUUCUUUUUUUAAUUCUGAUACAUAUGUUUUUCUUCACUUGGAAUUUGGUAAUUACGAUGAAUUGAGAUCUGUUAUUUCUUUAUGAUGUAGGGUAUCCAAAAAUAUUGUAUUCAAUCAUAGCAUUUGAUAACCCUUAUACUUCCUUAUGUAGAACUCUUUUAAAAUGGAUUUAUGAUUUUAGGAUUAGUUAUACUAUUUUUGAAUGACCAUAGUAUAAUAUAUUAAUAAGUACCAAGAGGUUACAAUGAUAGCUUAAUUUUUUUCAUCAAGGGUUUUAUGUUUUUUUAUAUGCUAAUGUUUUUGACCAAUUGGCUUAAGGGAGUGUUGUUUAUGUAGACGAUCACUAGCAACCAGCCAUGAAGAAAGCAUUCAUGUUUUUUAGUUCUUGAAGGGAAGAUGGAGAGGGAGGUUAAAGAGGGUACUUAUUAGAUCUACUAGGAAAUUUUGGAUUUUUUCCCUCUCUUAAAAAAAUGCAGGUUUAUAGUCCUCUGGAGCAGAGAAUAGCCAAGAUUUAGAUGACACCUUCAAUGGGAUUGGAGUGAGCAAAGGAAAAAGUUUCAACCUCUAGGAUAGUGUUGGUCAAGAAUAGAAUAGAAGGGACUAUGAGACAGGGAAAAAGAGAUGGUGGAAGAUGGAAAGCCAACUAGUUAUUUUUUUCCCCUCUCUUUAUUCUUCUUGUGGGUUUACGGAAUAGGGAUGGUUACAUUUAGACUUACAGUGUGUGGCAGAAACUGGUGAUUAAGGUUUAGAUUAGUUGUAUAAAUUCUAUUUGAUAUGUAUGGUACAUCAUGUAUAUACAUUUAAAAUUUCAAGUCAAGUUGCUUGUGCCACCUAUGGGUCUGCCUAGAGAUUUUGUUCUGUCGGGGUCUUAUAACAGGUGCCAAACCAAACCUAUAAGAUAAUCUUGUGAGCUUGGCCCAGCGUUCAGUUUAGGUUUGUAUUGGUUUCGGGCUAGCUUUCCAUAGUUUUGCCAUAGCAUUGGUAAUAGUUGUUGUAAUAUCAAUUGCCUGUGCCACCUGUAUAAUGUAUAGUAUUGUAGUACAGGCAUUAGAUGUGGGUCCCUGUUUGGUCCAAAUAUGAUGAUGAGGCACAUGCAUGGGUAUCUGAAAGGAUAAGGGCUCUUUGAUUGUGGCAUGAGCAAUACACAUAUGACCAUCACUUUUUAUUAGUAACAUAAGCACGAUGCUAGCCACGACAAUUUUUCUUUCAAACAUCUCAUGGGAAUUAUAGUGUUCUUUUACCCUCUUUUGAUUUACUGGCAAGAACAUGACCAUGGUUACUGCCUGAUGCUAGCCACGGGAAUCCUUCCUUCGAACACCUCAUGAUAAUCAGUGUUCUUUUACCCUCUUUUAAUCUACUGACAAGAACGUGACCAUUCUUACUGCACUAUUUUGGGCAUACAUGUCAUGCUUGGAGCCAUGUAUUAAUUGAACUGGUGAUUGUGCAUCAGCACUUAGUUCAGCAGCGAGCUUUUAGUAUUACUGUUGCAAGGUGUUGCCAGUUUGAGCCAUGUGGUUGUGAAAUGAGCAGAAGCACACUUUAAAGUCCAAAACUGUGAGUUCAUAUGAUUCAAUGUGCUUUUCCCAUGCUGUUACCAUAAGGUAAUAGCUGAUUAAGAUUCCCCUUUAAAAACGAUACCCAAAUUUGAUUAUGGACUGGUAUAUUAUCCAUCCAGGAUCAAAUGCAAAAUGAUAUGUUGUUGACUUCAUAUUAUGCUCAAAGUAUCUUCUUGUGGUAUAUCUGCUGUUUGUACCUAUUGUCUUUUUAGUAGCUUUUUUAUUUGAGAAAACAUUAGUUAUCUGAUGUAUCUUUUCUAUUUCACUGCUUGUAGUGAUAUCAAAUGAAGCCAGAAAUAUUCUUCUGAGGCAUUUCUAUCAGAAGUCAGAAGAGAAGGUGAAAGCUCAAUAUCUUACCUUUCUAUUCUACAAAUUUUGCUGCUGUUCCAUGUUCUUAAACUCUCUCAUGCCUUGUUCAUGCAGUUUCGACCAAAAAGAGCUGCCUCGGAUCACCUGACAUCCGAACACAAUUGCAAGCAACCCAGAGCUGCCUACGCUGAUGGAGCGCAUUAAGCUGAACAUAUUCUAGUUUCAUGCUUAACUAUCUCCUAUCUCCUUUGUGAGCUCGGCAUAUAGCAGUCUCUUUCUCUCUCUCUCUCUCUCUCUCUCUUCAGAUGCGUGUGUAGCUUGUGCCCACUGCAUAAUUUGCAGGCAUGUAUUGUAUGUUGACUGUCGUUAUAAUAUUCAGAUAAGCAAUUAAAUUAUAUUUGCAGUAGUUUCUUGAACCUUGAAUCAUGCUGUUUAAGGUUGACUACAUUUGUGUCGCUUAUUCGUGCUGCAGCUUCUUUCGUCGACAGGGGCCGGCUCACGAUCUUGAUGGACCGGCUCGAUUCCUUUACAAUCGCAUAAGAGCCCACACUGGUACGACGCGGUGCGUCCCUCUGCCCCUCGGUCCGGUCUUUUCCACUUCUUGCUUCGCAGGAUGGCAAGCUCUCUUUUUGUUUGUUCUUGUACCAUGGCCGAUUUGCAUAUCAAUCCCUCGGUCGUUUUCAUUUUCACCCCUCUCAAUUAUUUAUUUACCGUCGUAAUUUAUCAUGUUAUUAAACCUUAAUGUUAAAAUAAUACAAGUAUUUUAGAUAUUUUUCUCUUCCAAAUCUAACUUUUAAUAUGGGUUUCAUAGGGCACGUUACUGCUGGACCAUAUUAAAAGUUGUAGGGGCGAAUAUGCUAUUAUAAACUGUGAUAGGGGUGUUUUUGCAAACAUGUACACUUUCGCAAUCGCCUCCUCCUCCCUUUGCGUGUAACCUUUACAGCUUUGCAGCGAGGCGUCCGCACCUAAUUCGUGCCUUCGAAUCCCUCUGCUUUCCCGUGAGGGAUGGACUGAGCGCAACAUCCAAGUCUCCGUUCAUCCGAUUCCCCCUUUAAUUUAUAUCCUUGCGGCAAGGCGCUUCGACUGCAUCUCACUUCGUCCUUGAGCUAGAAAUCAACUGCUGCUGCUAUUCUUCUUUUAAGAUGGCGUUCCCUUACCUGGAAGCCGUGUUGGGUGAGUCCUACUGGUUCCGCGAGGGGUUUCGGGUUGGUCAUUCGGGUUUUUCGUGAUUUGUGUUUCUCCCCGAUCUUGUACUUGCUGCUUUUGCACUAGUUUCCUUGGGUUUUGGUUUUCUGGGUUUCGCUUCGAUUUUUUUUUCUUUUAUUGUAAUUAUUUGUUCUUUUGUUGGUGACUCCGUUUGGUUUGUUUGGUCGAUGUGAGUCUGUUGCGGGUUAUCCAUCAUUUCAUGGACGGCCUCGCUCCCGUCUGGUUUCUUUUUCCUCUUGUAGAGACGGUGCUUUUUGACCAUCGGCUGCGGUGACAAUAUUGUCUAUUGUGGUAUUUAUGCCGCUUUGUAAUUUUAGGAUUGAGUGGAUGUAAAGGAAGUCAUCGCCUUAUUGGGCCAGGAAAUUAGUCCUGUAAUCGUUCUAACUUGUGUUAUUAACGCGGUCUCUACGCAUCCCCGUAAUUAACUGCUCUAGCAUCCCGAUCUUUACAUCCGAUCUUUACAUACGAAAGUGAAACAUUUAGGUUACCCUAACAAUGUCAGUUUUACCAACGAAAAAACAAAGGACAAAAAGAUAAUUUUAUUGUUCUAGUCGAUGGUGGUGGACAGCGGCGUCGCUAGCGUCGGCGUUGACGCCGAUGCAGUUGCUUAGCGGUCUUUUCACCGCUCUACAUAUGCGUCGGAGCUCCAUCGUCGUGGAAUUAAAGUUCGUUGCCGAAGCCAUCAUGGAGAUUCAUUGCCUGUCGAAGCAGGACAUGGAGAUGCAUGCCUCCCUUAUCGAUGCCGACGUUGUGCCCCUUCUUAUUGCCUGUCUCCUUAACCACCACUACUCAUCCACGGUCGAGGCCCAGGAGAACGUCGUCGUUGCCCUCCUCAACCUCUCCAUUUUCGCUCGCAUGGCGCUCAUGUGCACCCCGGGCAUCCUCGCCGCCCUUCGCUUCCUCUCCCUUGUCGUUGCCCAGCAUGCCACCCCAACCUUUUGCAACCUCCUCUCCAUCGAAGCGUAUCACUCCAUCAUCGGGGCAAAGAAGCCCCUCAUCAUUGCCCUUGUAGACCUCCUCGACGUGUCGACUAGGUCCAUUAAGGACGCGCUCAAGGUCCUCUUUGGCCUGGCCCUCUACCCUCUCAAUCGCAUUGCCCUCGUCAAGUUGGGUGUCGUGUCGCCCCUUUCUGCAUUGGAGGUGAAGGACGGGCAGAGAGGGGUUGGUGGAGGAUGCGACGACGGUGAUUGACCAGGUGGCAGGAUGCGACGAGAGCGUGGAGGCAUUCCGGAGGGUGGACGAUGUCAGCAUCCUGGUGGAUCUAGUGGUUGGGGGGAGUAGGAGGGUGAUUGAAAAUGCUGCGGCUGCAUUGCUAAACUUGGUAAAGGGCGACAGAGAUAAGGCAGUGGGGGACGCCAGGGAAGUGGAUGGGGCGGAGGCGGUCGUGAGGACUUUGGCCUGCAGUGACAACGAGGUUAGCACGAGGGGGAAGAGCAAGGCGGAGGCGCUGUUCAGGGUUUUGGAGAGCAGGCGGGGGAGCCAGCUGUAGGGUCUUGAUGAUUCUGAGACCAGCACCGAUGACUCGGUGCCACAAAUGCUGCUCUGUGAUGGAGUCGCAAAGCGCUUCGCCGCCGCUCUGCAUCCACCACCACCACUGAUGUUGUCCGCCACCAUUGGAACGUUAAAAUUAUUUUUUUGCCCUUUAUUUUUGUUUCUGUUGGUAAAACCGAUGACGUUAUGGUAAAUGGACCUACAUGUUUCAUUUUCGUAACUAUAGGGAUUCCAUUAUAACUUUUUUAAGUGUAGAGAUUGAGAUGCUAAAAGUAACUAACUACAUGAGGUAAUUUGUGAUUGGCCUUAUUAUUGCCUAUUUCAUUAUUUAGAUUGUUUGCCUGGGGUUGGUAUACAACUAGCAUUUCAUCUUGAAAUGCCUUUAUUUUUCUUUUUUUUUGUCGGUAAAACAAAGGUGAAUUCCCAAAUUCAUUCAUUACUAACUAGUAUACAAAAGGAAAAUAAAAUAUUUAAUAAUUGCAUGAAAUAGUGACAUAAUAGAGGAAGUGGUCAUGGAGUCCAUUGACAUGAUUAUCACACAGCUGUUAAAGAGAAAGUGAAGUGGUCAUCUCUAAGAUUAUUUUUUCUGUGACAGAAAAUUAAUGAUUUGCAAAAGAUCCAGGAAGUGCAGAUAGGUUCUUGGGAGGCAAAUCAAUCUAUUAUAUCUCAUGGUCGUUUAAAAAUGAAAAUUAUAAAUAAAAUAUAUAUAAAAAAACACAAAUAUAAAUAAAAUACAAAUAGAGAUAAUUCUAUAUUUUUGUCUGGUCUAGUCAGAAGAAUCCUGAUUUUGGUCUUGUUUCAGUUUUGACCACAGAAAUACUUGACAGUUGGUGUAGGUCAUUCAUUGUUUGAGUUUUUCUUAGAUAAUUGCAAAAUCAGCUCAUAAGGAUUCAAAAGGCACGCAAAGUUUUACCAAUUCUCUCUUUGGUUGUUAUUUUGGGGGAUUGAUGGUAUCACUUAUUGCAGGCUUUAUGAUCUUCAUGUACUUCUUCGAGACAUACUUGGACAUUCGGCAACAUGCAGCUCUGAAGUUAACCAACUUGCCUAAGCCACUCGAAGGAGUAAUUAGUCAAGAAAAAUUUGAAAGAGCUCGAGCAUAUAGCAUUGAUAAAAGGUCCAUUUUUCUAAGUUAACUUAUUUUUUUAAUAACUUACGGGCAUUGUUCACUUUUCAUGUAUUUCAAUAUGUGGCAUUUUUAAUGCACAAUUAAAUUUAUAGCUCAAACUCUUUUAUUUUUUAAAAAAGGUUUUCAGUUAUUAGCUAGAACUUCUUGUAUCUUGGGAUUAUAUUUUCUUUAUCUUCUUGUUUCUUUUAGUGGUUUUCACUUCAUCCAUGAAGCUGUCACUAUACUGAUGGACACUGCAAUUCUGUAUUUUGGCAUAUUACCUUGGUUUUGGAAGGUAAAGUAGCAGCCUUGGUUUCUUAUAUAUCUUGUUUGUGUCAUCUGUGACUCAUUUGCAUAAUCUUUCACUACAGGUAUCUGGAAACUUAGUGGCCUACUUGGGCCUAGACGCAGAAAAUGAAAUAAUGCACACACUGUCAUUUCUGGCGGGUGUUAUGAUUUGGUCACAGGUAUGGUGGAAUAUUAAUUAAAACCGCAUUCCAGCCAUAAUUUCAAGUAGUUAUGUGACACUGUUCAUGGGGUUUAACAAACUUGUAUGCCAGACAUAUUGUAGGAACAAUUAGCUUGUGUGGGCCAUCACCAAUGUCAUCACAACCUGUGCUGGGAUUUACUUUAUCACCAACUAGGACUAGUGAAAAUGUUUGCUGUGUUUAAUUUUUAACUCAACUGUCUCCACCUUUGACAUGAUAUUAAACUUACAGCUUCCUGCCUGUUUUCAUUUACCAUUAUACUGAUACUUGCUAUUUGUAAGAGAUAAAAUUAUGUGCAUUUGAAUUCACCUUUUAUGGGCAAAAAAAAUGAACUUUGAUGUGCUGAUCAUCAUGCAGAUAACAGACUUGCCAUUUUCUCUUUAUUCUACAUUUGUUAUCGAGGCGCGCCAUGGAUUUAACAAAGUUUGUACACAUUCAGUUGCCUCUUUUUUACAUUUACUGGAUGUGUAUUGAUUUUUUGUCUCCUUUAAAACUUAGAUGCUAACAUAAAUAACUUAGUUUUAUUCUUUUUCGAUUUCCACAGCAAACAGUAUGGCUCUUUUUCAGGGACAUGUUUAAGGGAAUUUGCCUCUCCAUCUUACUUGGCCCCCCAAUUGUGGCUGCAAUUAUUUUCAUAGUUCAGGUGGCUAUGCUACUUGACACUAAUUUCAUUUGUUAGUUUCUUCAUGCUUGCUUCUAUUAGACUGAAUUACAUUCCUUCCGCAUUGCUGCAGAAAGGAGGUCCAUACCUGGCUAUAUAUCUUUGGGCUUUUAUGUUCGCUCUCUCCCUCGUGAUGAUGACACUUUAUCCUAUUCUAAUAGCUCCUCUGUUCAAUAAGUUCACUCCUGUGAGUAUUUUACUGUAAAAUCAGCAGCUGUUUGACUAUAUACUGAUUAACUCUUAUCUAAUUUAAUUUGCUAAAUCUUAUGAAAGGUUUAAAAAGCUAAAAAAUGACCUAACAUGGUAGUCUGGCUCCACUUGGUGGAUGAAAAGGUAUAUGUGUAGAAAGUUCUUUUUGCCUUUUCAUCCACCAAUCACAAUUGACAUGUUUGUCAUUUCUAGGGCCAGUUCUUGAGUCUUCAUAACAAACAUACACAGUGGAUACAUAAGCUGUUUUCUUCCUAGUAUCCACAUUGGUGUGUUUUUAACAAUGUGUAAAUGUUAAUGGAUACUAUCUGCAUUAGUUCACUAUAGUAUAUAUUUCAUUACUUUGUGCAACAAAUCGUGAACAGCUGCCUGAUGGAGAGCUCAGGGAGAAAAUAGAGAAGCUUGCAGCCUCACUGAAAUUCCCUCUUAAGAAACUCUUUGUAGUUGAUGGAUCUACAAGGUCAAGCCAUAGCAAUGUGAGCAGCUCUUUAUUAUUUUUGAGAAGUUUGAACCUUUGACGCUCUUUCUAUCAUGUUCAUAGAUUAAAUUUUAUUUCACUACAUUACUGAGUGUCAAUAGUGCUGUUUCUGACUUAUUACUGCUAUAACCGUGAUUGCGGAUAAAAAAGUUGUGAUGAUUUAAAUAAUCAUUACAACCUGAGUUGCUUCUCAUCCGGUGUGUUAGAGUUAAAGCAGUAGUUAAAGUUCAACCUAUUAUAGAUCUGUACUAUUGUGAAACGGACUUAUAUUUUGAAACACAGACAUCCUGGAUUCCCAUGUAUUAGUCCUUAACACGGGAAAUUGUAUAUAUUAUAUGUUCUGUUAUCCCUAGCAUUGAGCCAUAUGUUGUUUAUGUCUUGCAACAGUAAUAGAUUAAAGGCUAUCUUGAUUAUAGUAAUAAGCCUUGUAUUUGUUUCCACGAAGAAAAUUUUUUUAUGGGAAGUGCUGUGAUGCUCUCAUGUGCACCAGCCGUACAUUGCAAAUAGUUGGAUGUUCCUGUCUGAAAAACACAACUACUAACUUGUACAGUGAGAAAAGCCAUAUAGAGCUGCCCAGUAAUUGUCCUUUUCUAGUGCAUCAGCUCGGUGUAUUUGUCCAUGCUAUGCUUUACUUGAAAGUAUUGCUAUGUUUUUACUUCAGAAGCAAAUCAUAUAGGAGGAAAGUUGAAUAGGUCUGCUCAAGAGAUGUAAUUGGUGUCGUCAAGCCUCUGCAUAAGAUUCUAGCAGUAUUGGUUUUACUGGCAUAUGAUUGCUAGGUUUCAUCCAAGUAUGCCUUAUAUGAAGAUGUAAUUUGCUUGAUUAUAUUGCAAAGACCCCGGUCAGUGCCUUUUGCUGCAAUAAUGUUUAAUUCUGUUUCCUUAAUAUCCAUGGUUACAAUGAUUUCAUAUCUUUGGAAGUAGUUUUGUGUUUGACUUCUCAGCAUGCUGUUCAAGCAAUCUGAUAAUUCAAUAGAUGAACCACCAUGAGAUGCUGAUUUGUUUCCCAUGGUCUGCUUUGUUGGAAAACAACACUUUGCGGGUUCUGGAUUUUAGCAAACCUAUGUGUAGUGAUAUUUUUAUCUUCUUCUAGUGCUGUAGAAAGACUUCGUUUCUGCAGCUGACAAUAUAACUCCCUUUUAAGGUGGUUGGUUGGCUUAUUUCUCCAUUAAAGAGGGGGCAGAUAUGAACAUGUCAAUUCAGUCAUUUAGUUAAAGAUAAUGUACAGACAUGAUGUAUAACUAAUAGCAAGAGACCAUCACAUCAUGCAAAAAGAAAGUAUCACAUGAAAUAUUGAUGUGGAAUACAGCUUCUACUUGUUAUUAUUGCUGAUGGCACACUAGCAGUUUCUUUUCAACAGUAACUUCUCAACGGUAACUUCUAGGUUUACAGUGCUCUUUGGAUGUGGUGUAUUUCAUCUUUUAAUUUUUCUCAUUUAUUCAUGAUAUCCCUCUCUGUGCUGCACUGCUUUUUUUUAAAACAAUUCAAAAUGGAUAACAGAAACAGAAGUGGUUAUAGCAACUUUAAUUUCAUCACUUAUUUUUAUUUAUUGCCACAUUCCACGAGUGGUUUUUUAGUGCUACAUAUUUUGUUUCUCUGUCUCUUACAUCUCUGUUACUUGUGUAUUCUCUGAUUUGCAUGUUUUUUCUACUCAACAGGCAUAUAUGUAUGGAUUUUUCAACAACAAACGGAUUGUUCUUUAUGACACUUUGAUUCAACAGGUUUGCUUCAAAUUGAUGCUCCACAUUAAUAUAAUUACAAAUUUGGUGCAAUUUUACUGUUGAAAUAUCCUUUGGUUGACUAAGAAAUGAACAAAAGACCAUGUACACACAGCUUUUUUUUUUUAAAAAAAAGGAGUUUCACAGUUCCCAUUGAGUGAUGACAAGCUUCCUAAUAAAAGAUGUUAAUGUGAGCCUACCUCUGUGUGUACAGUGACUUAUGCCUCUUUUAGGGCUUCAGUUGUAUAGUGACUUGCCUAUUUCAGGGCUAAAGCUGUCUCCACAAGGUUAUAUGAUGUCCUGAGAUAAAUGAACAGUUUUCCUUUAAUAUAUGCUUCAAUUUCUCAUUUGAUAAGGUAAGCCAUUGACAGACUUUGUCUGAAUUGCUUACUGCAACUGGAAAGUGUUCUCGCCUUUUAUGAUUUUAGGUCUGGAAUACUUUGCUCAGAUAUCAAGUUACAAUAUUAUUUAACCUGGGCUUCAUUUCAUACAUCCUACCCAUUGUUCACAUGGUUUUUUAAUUUUAUUUGUACUAGCUUUUCCUUGUCAGAAUUUAUUGUUCAAACUAACCAUCACAUUGCUACAUUAUUUGUCAAAACUCGUAAGUGCUUCUCAUUGUCCUUCUUGUUACAUAUAAUUGUUGUAUUCAAGAAGUUGAAACUUGCUCGAAAAUUUGCAACAUGUGUUGUCUUCUGAAGAGGUUGAUUUUGAGAAGCUUCUACAGAUAACUAUUUGUUAUUACGGAAAAAAAAUCAUUGUUUUCUUUUACUGCAUGAAGGCUUAAAGGGAGACACUUGAGUGUCAUGACCUUAUUUCAGUAUCACUGUUUUGGAUGGAAGUAUGCCUAUCAACCUCUCAGUGCAUGCCAUGUUGAUGGAAAAUUGAUUUAUGGAUGUGGCAAUUCAUUUUCUGGCCAUGUGAUUAAUAGGAACUACUGUAUUUGUAGGCUCUCUUUCCACCUUUCAGAGCAUAUGCUUUCCCCUAAAUUCUCAUUCAAAUCCUGUCCUGUUUUCAUGACCCAAGUAAUUAUCCAUAGCUUUAAUUGUAUGAUCUGUGUUCCCUGUUAGUUGGAAACCUUAUCUUGUACUUCUAUUGUGGAAUGCUGCAUUUAAUUUAAGAGUUAUUCUCUCUGCUAUGAACAAGUGGUAUGUUUUCAAAGCUGGCUAUCUUGAUAAACUUUUUUAACUUGGAGUUAUAUAUUUCCACAUUGUUGAGUCUGAGAAUUGAAAUACCAAACCAUAUCCUCUCUGGUACAGCGACAUAUCGUUCCAAUUGUUUUGCUUACGUAAAUGAAAACUGUUACAGUGCACAAAUGAGGAGGAGGUAGUUGCAGUUAUCGCUCAUGAACUUGGACAUUGGAAACUCAAUCACACUAUGUAUUCUUUCAUUGCUGUCCAGGUAUUCUUUCAGAAAUUUUAUUCUUUUCAUUAUUGUUGCCACUUCUUUUUUUUGUGUGGUUGUUUUGGUAGUUUCAGCAGACUACAUAUCUUGGCAGUUUUGGUAGUUUCAGUAGCUAUGAUUUGGGUUCAAGCGAACCUAUAAAAGCUUUAAAACAUUAAAAUGUGUCGUCAUUUUUUCCCUCUAUCUUCAGCUGGUUUUUAGUUGAAACUAUUUAUGAAUAUGAAAGAAAUUACAUAUAAUUACCAUGUAUGAGUUUUCUCACGAUUUCAUGGUUUGAAAGCUUUUUGAAAUUUAGGUUCAAGUGAAUAUGCUUAGGAAAAUGAAAUGAUAGUCAGGAAUAUUCUUCAAGUGGUCACUUGAUGAAUGGGUAAUACAACCAAGGCUCAUUGUCUAAUAGCUUACUUGUUAUUGGUUUAAGAGGGUGUCACGGAAGCACCAUAAAUGUUGUUUCUUUUCAUUAAUACUUUUGAGAUAAGUUAGACUUGCUAUAAUAUUGGUAACACGAAUAUCAUGAUACUUAGUCUGUUUAGCAAAUAAAAUACAAAAAAAAAAUUGAUAUUUCCCUGGUGCCUUUUGAGUUUUUUAAUGUUAUUUGUAUUUAAGUACAAAUUGAAAGGCGGCCUGUAUGCAAAAAGCAUAAUUUCUCCGUCGAAGAGAUACUAAGCUAUAAUUCCUUGAUCAGCCACAUCUGUUAUGUUCCACUUUGGUUGACGUAAGACAUGGAAUUGAAUAAGUUUUCUGAUGGUUUUGAUUCUUAAUAUUCUUUAUGCCUAUUGUUCUGCAAGUUGUUAUUUUGGAUAUAAAUUCUCUGGCCAGUUAACAUAUAAUCUAUUUCCUAAAAAUAAUUUUAAAUUAUUCAACACGCUGAUAUGUUUUUGCAUCUCCUUUAAAGAUUUACUCUUGUUUUCUAUGCUCUAAUUCUCUGUGCUUCUUAGUUCCAAAUGAUUCUUGAAUAACAUCUUUCAAAAAACAUCAUCUAACUUUCUUGCUUACCAACAUUCUUAUUCUUGUCUUUUCUUAAAAAAAGUGUUAACUUGUCUUGUAGUGGAAGUUAUGGUCAAAACAAUAUUUAGUCAUGAAAAUUUUGGGUUCUUACAGUUGAUAUAUAGAUUGUAAUAGCCCAUAUAUGUAUGAUGCUUCCCACAGGAAAUUGCAACCACACCAUAUACAUAUGGGUAGUUCAUAUUUAGAAAUCUCACUUUCUUUCUAAUUUCAGCUUAUAUUAAACAUUUGAUCAGCAUUUUCUUUAAUACAUGUAACUGUUCUACUAUCUCUUUGUUUUUUCACUUGUGGCUCCAAAUGCUUUUCUUUUUCUUGGAAGGCUCAAAAAGAACCUACAGAAAUUGAGUCACCUUUUCCAGACUAACAGAAAAGCCAUAUAACUUUCUAAGUGUGCUUAGCAGAUUCUCACAUUUUUGCAAUUUGGAGGUUACACACUAGUGAGGAAUUCAAAGGAUCUCUUUGAAAGUUUCGGCUUUGAUACUCAACCUAUACUUAUUGGUCUCAUCAUAUUUCAGGUGCAUUUCUUUUGCAUUUUUCCUCUUCUGCACUGCUGGAGUAUUUUUAAAUUGUCUACAGUAGCUUCUUAAUUUAGUUUACAAGCCAGCUGGAAUAUUUCUCUUCUUGGUGAAUGUUUAAUAUGACUUUUUGUAGCAUUGCAUGUUUUUCCCAUUUUUUUAAAGAGGAACAAGUCUCAUUGAUGUACUCAGUCUUACCUUUGAAAGCAAAUGGACUUUCUAUUACUCAAACCCUGGCACUGUCAGUCAACAUAGAGGAGCAUAAUCAGUUGUCACAGAAGAAGACAUGUAAAAAGAAAGAUGUGUUUUAUGAACAUGGGAUUAUCAGAGGUUUAAGACAAAAGACCUGAACUGCCAUAUGUUUUGCUGGUGAACUUCCAUGAUGCAAUGUCUUUUGGACCAUUUACAUUAUGGCUUAUGUAGAUUUCAUUCUCAUAUUAGUUGUUAACAAAGUCAGUUUUGUAGUUCCUUAUAUAGCUAUCUUAUCUGUUUUCUCAUCACCGUUGAACUAUAUAGCAAACAUCUUUUGAUUAAUGGCCAUGAAUAUGUAUAAUUGUGUUGGACUAAUUUGUGAAAUUUUGUUACCAGCAUACUGUUAUACCCCUCCAGCACCUUGUGAACUUUGGUCUAAAUCUUGUGAGCCGAACAUUUGAAUUUCAGGUACUUUGGAUUUUAAUGGUUUCAUAUACCCUAGUCUGACUUGGCUAUUUGGCUACUUUUUUACGUAUGUCAUGAUGUGACCAUAUACCGAUAUACUGUAAGCUCUAUAAUCGAUUUGUUUUGUAGGCUGAUGCAUUUGCCAAGAAACUGGGUUAUGCCAAGGCACUUCGUGCGGGCCUCAUAAAAUUGCAGGUAAGUUGCAAGCACUUUUUUUCAUUUUCAGUUGCUCUUCAUGUUGGUUAAAUUAGAGGAGAUUGCUUACCUGAUAUGUUGCGUUCCAUUGCUUUGUUAAAUUACUUUAUCCCCACCACUAGUGUUUAUCUGUCCAUAUAUUGAAAUAUUCACAAGAAUUGAUGCAUUUCAACUUUCGCAUUUAAGAGAGUCUCAAGGUUUAAUUUAAUGUUUUGAACUCACAAGUGAACCUCAUGUUGGAAGGAAAACAAUCAAUUUGCAAGUGUUUCUCUCUUUUUUUUUGGUUUAAUUUCUGUCCGGCACGUCAUGAGAUUUAUAUGAAGCGCUUCAAAAAGAGAGUCAAAACCUGUUGCUGCCUUUUUCUGCUGGAGAGCUGAAUACGAUUUUCUAAGCGAGCACUGAAGUUGAGUUUUUGGUUUAAUUUUCCUGGCAUGUCAUGAGAUUUAUACAAAACACUCUGAAAAGACCGUCAAACUAUAGCAUGAAUAGGUUGAUGAAAUUAGUGAUUGCAUUUACUUGGGAAAAUGUAGUUCAAGAUCAAUGGCUUGGAUCACUGUUUUUAGAUGCUUUAAAUAGGUGUUACUCUGGUUAACAUAUUAGUGCUUCUGUUAUGACUCAUAAAUCAGAGUUCAAAGAAAAUCCCUGUAACGGCACGGUAUCAGUAGCAUUCUUUAUUAAUAUCAAUGAUGAAAAAAUUGUGGAACGAUUGGCAUCACAACUACUAGAUAUUUUUCUGCCAUUUUCUUCCAUGCUCAUGGAUAUUGUUAUGGACAUUCAACAGUAGUUGUUUUCUCUUUUCAGGAGGAGAACCUCUCUGCCAUGAACACAGAUCCAUGGUACUCGGCUUACCACUACUCCCAUCCUCCGCUAGUUGAAAGGCUCGCAGCUAUUGAAGAACCUGACAGUAAGAAAGAGGACUAACUAACAUCACCAACCCUUACCUUCCUCGGCAUUAGACUCUUACCAUCAUACACAGUGGGACAUAGUCAUCUCCCCCAGUAGGUUUUGGUUCAAAACAAGUCUUCUGUUUUAUUCUGAGACAGUGCACCUUUGAAUAGAAUUUUGCAGACAAAGCUGAGAUCUCGAGUGUGCGCGUGGUAUUUAUUUGUGUUCUCAUUCAGAUUUAUCUUUUUCUUUAUUUUUGUGUUCCCUACUCGAUCUCACUCACAGUGUGUGUGUUAUAUGUAACCCCUACACUUUGUUUUUAGAUUCCAUUAGGCAAAAGUGCGUCGGAAAAGUAUUUAAGUGAAGAAAAGAAAGGGUAAAAUAAAAAAGAAAAAAAAAUUAAAUGAAGAUAAUAUUUUGAGGCCAUAUUAUUAUUUGGGGACCGAAUGAGCCGCUGAUAUUGCGGGCCCCCACUCGCUCAAUGUUUACGGGCCACUCGUCUUCUCCGAAAGCCACCACACCUGCUUGAAGUUACAAUGACGGCUGGUCGACCGUCUUCCCCCUCGCCACCGAGCGCUCAGAAUGGCCUCCUCCCUCCGCCUCUCUCCCGUUCUCCACCUCCACACCUCCUGGCAGCCGCGGCGCCGGCCUCCUCGGGGCUUCCGCGACAUCCGGUGCGACGGGAGGAGCCCCAGCGACGGUGGCUCCAGAUCGGAGAACGCGGUGCUCAGGCUGGCCUGGUACGGCUCCGAGCUCCUCGGUAUCGCCGCCUCCUUGUUCCGUCCCUCCCCCUCGGCGGCCCCAUCGGAGGAGUUGCGGGCCGAUGGAUUGGGGUUCGCGGCUGGCCAGGCGGAGGUGGCGGAAGCGAUUAAAGAGGACUUCGACCGUUCCUACUUCGUCACAGGUUCGAGAACCUUCCACUCCCAAGAUUUCCGUUUAAGAUCGUUCUACCCUUCUUUGGCCGAUGAGAAGGGGCGGAUUCUGAAUGAAUAUGAUAACCAUGAAGUGUGAAACGGACAUUGGAGAACUUUUUCACACAUCAAAAUACACAUUCGCUAUAAGGACUGGUUUCCAUGGAUCAAGUGUUGGAUUAAACGUAACCCAGAGUCAAAAAAAGGGAAAGGAUCAUAUGCGACGGCCAACCGAAGGAACGAAGGAUGUAACCUCAUGUGGUUGCCAUGACAGAUUUGUGAUUCCCAAACAUGGUAUGUAGAUGCAGACAAGGCUGAGAGUUUGUGUUUGUAUGUUAUGAUACAAACACUGGUCUUGUACAAUUUUGGUGUUGGUAUGCGACUGUUUCUUUGAUAAUUCCAGGUCAACCAAUUCUUUGAUGGAUAUAGCCCUUAUUUUAUAGCUUGACAUCCCAGUAUUUUUGUAGUUAUGCGGAUUACACAUAAUUCAAUGGAAAUCUAGAGAUAUAGGAUCUUGGAGCAAAUCGUAAAAAGUGUCACCUGGCUAGAUAUAAGUUCAUACUUUGGGAAGCUGGUACUAACUGAAUUUGCAAUCCUUGCAAAUGAUGAUGUUUAAUCACUUAUGAAUGUAUGUGAUGUUCAUCCCCCUUUUGUGUUCUGAGGUGUUGGCUUUGCUAUAAGCUGAAAGAGCAAAUGGGUCCUGGCUAUUGUACGUAACAAAAUGUUAAGACAAGACAGAAUAGGUAAAAAGUUCAGCGUGCCUAAAAGCUAUUAUAUCUGUUGCUGUUCUAAACUUCUUUCCUGCAUAAUAUAUUCCAAAUGAUUCGGUUCAUCUAUAUCUACUCUUUUGUUUGCAUCUGACAUUUACUUUUACUGUCCAGGGAACUUGACACUUGAAGCCUAUGAAGAUGACUGUGAAUUUGCUGAUCCGGCAGGUUCCUUCAGAGGCCUUCGACGUUUUAAACGAAAUUGUACAAAUUUUGGAUCACUGCUUGAAAAAUCUAGCAUGAAACUCACAAAGUGGGAGGACUUUGAGGUGAAAACCCUGAAAUCCUUUCAAAUAUAUCAUAACCAUCUCUACUUUCUGUUAUAGACAUUGAGGGGGAAAUGGUCUCUAGUAAAAUAUAGUCUACCUGCAAACCUUCAUAGAUGUAACCCAUCAAAUAUCAUCCUCAUUCUGACUUAUUACAGUUGUACAACAACAAAAAUUAUUACAGCCAAAAUGGUUGGUUGCAGGAUAAGUCAAUUGGACACUGGCGUUUCAGUUGCAUCAUGUCAUUUCCUUGGAGGCCAAUUCUUUCUGGUAUAUAAGAAACCAUCUUCCAAGAAUAAAACAUAUCCCUUUUAUACUGUUGAUUGUUAAUCUUGUUGGUGUUUCUUGGUUACUUCCAUCCCUGACAGGUGAAGUUCAUGUUCUAUAUAGUAGGAUAAUUCAAUUACUCUAUUCUGACUUUCUGAUAUGUUUGUUCUUGCUUUUUGAUAUGCCUUUUCUCUUUCCACAGCUACUGGCUAUACAGAAUACUAUUUCGAUGCUCAAUCAGGGAGAGUUUGCAGGCAAUGAAUUUAUUCUAUGGUUAUAAUCUUGAAAUGAUCUCAUCCUUCAUGAUUUAAGUCAUUCAUGUUGUUCUAUGUAGGCAUGUGGAGCAUUGGAAUGUUCCUAAAAUGGCACUUUUCAAGCAAAUAUUCAGACCAAGCCGUUGGGUAUGGGAGAAACGCUAAAAGCCCUCAGUGUGAAUCUCGACAAUUUAAGGAUUUACAUAAGGUUUUUGGUUGACCCUGAUUUGUUCACCAAUCAACUUGGAGUAUCCUUGCUGAUACUGUCUGUUAGUUUACCUCGCUCAUUUAGCAGUUUAAGCUAUCAACCAAGUGAUGUACAUAAUGCAUGACAACAUAGAUCCACUAAAUAUAUGAGGAUAUUUUGUAUGUCUCAUACAUUUAAUGACCUUGUUGCCUGUAUGUGAUGACAGUCUUUGGAAAUGAAUACAUUUCAUGAAAACAAAACACCAAGGUAAACAUUCACAUUUGCAAUAAGUUAUAUGUCCAAAUGAAGGUAUUACAUCUUAUUGGUUUUAAACAUGCAUCCUGGUGUAGUUAUCUAAAUGUAUCCUAUUUAUGAAGCAUACACUGACAAAUUUUUAAAUAAAUACAGAUGUUAUUUUUGUGUCCUGAUGUAAUCCAAGAUAUUUAUGCCAUUUGACUGACAUUGUAAAAUGUGCUUGAUUGUUUUCAUAGUAACACAAUCUGAGUUAUGUGUUAUGUACACAUUGUACAUCAGCAGCAUUCUUUACUGAUGGUAAGCAUUUAGAAGUGUCAUCCAUGCAUAAUGUUGAAUGCUGUCAUGAAUUUUCAGCCUUCUGUUAUGAUAUUACUGCUUCAAGUUGCUCUAUGCUGAUUGCGGUUAUUUGGACCAGGGAAUUCUUUGUGCGUAAAAGUUUCAAACAUGUAUUAAUGGCUUCUUUACUUGAUUAUCAAUCAAAAAGUCAGUAUCCAUCUAUAUGAGUUGUGUGUAUGUUAGCCUACAAUUGUGUCAGGUUUUCAGCUAAGUUUGGAGAUGUUUCUGUAGCUUGAUGUAAAAUGUGUCACAAAAUAUUUGAGCCAGCCAUGACAUGUUGCCAUCAAUGAUCAAAGUGUUACUCUUCUAAUCCAAAACAGCAUCCGUAGACUGGUCAUCUUGAAUACAGAAAUCAGAUAUGAUCAUGUCUGUAAUGCUAUACUAUACUGUUUUGCAAUUGAAGUUGCUUCUGUGUUGAUUGAGAAGAUGCAAAUCUAUAGCCUUGCUCACCAUUUGCCUGAAUUCAGAAGUGUGAUCAGCUCAGAAUUUCUCUCAUUGAUGGUUGAUAUUUUGUUCCCAAUCACAAAGGAUGCAUGAUAACUUUCUCGCGAUCACCUUAUAUCUUUGUUCAUGUAGAAAAUUGGGACCUCUAGGAAACUGCAUUUACUCAUAAACAAGAAGUUGUAUAUGUACCAAAAAAGGUUGAAAAGAAAUCUUCAUACAAAGAAACUUAGCCAAUGUUGAUUCUAAACCUGGAUGAAAGGUAAAGUGUUGUAUUAGGCCAUUGUUAACUAGCAUAAAAGUUUGUUAGAUCUUAUGAAUAUGGAUUUUAACUGAUUUCAAGUUGGAAUAUUAUGGCUUUGGGCUUCGUAGUAGUCGUUAUUGUUACACCCAGGUAGAUACUUGGCACAUCUCUCAACUAAGUAGGGACAUUAUUGCUUUAUAGUUGUUGAUAUACAAAGGAAGAGACUUCGCUAUCACCUCUCUUAACUGUGAUACGGAAACACUUCGAUCUUGGUGUUGUCGCUGCUAAUAUACCGAGUGAUAAUCUUCUUCUUCCUCCUGCUUUAUGCUAUUUAAAGGGGAUUUCAUUGGAACAGAUCCAAUACUAGAAAUCUGUACUACCUUUUGAGGGAUUCCAAACACUACUUGAUCUGGUGGGGAACAGAGCAAGCCAGCUAGAUUUCAUGUCUCUUUCUAAGAUUCUCCACAUCUUUGACUGAAAUAACAAGUUAGCAGUACUAACUGAGUCUAUGUUGACCCCUAAAACAGGAAAUUCCAGGGCUUGGAGCAUGAUGAUGCAUCACUAUUUCUUUCUUCUCUUUUUUUUACUGCUGUUAUUUAAUUUUAGUCAAUGUCUUUAUCUCCUUUGGAUUUGUUGCUUGACAGCAACAUUAAAUGGAUUCCCAUGAUUAGUUUGUCACUUAUCAAGGAUUUCAAGUACAGCAAAAGUUGCAUCUGAUGCACUUACCGUCAACCAUGAGCUCCAUGAAGAACAAUUCUGAGGAUGAAGGAGCUCCAAUGGAGGAGCAUCAAACACAGAAGGCUGAGGUAAAUCCAUAGAUUCUGAUGCCUGUGAAAUUCUUUCUUUCUCUUAGAAAGUGGUAUUCUUUAGAUAAACUAAGUGGGCUUCAACUUUUUUCCAGAAAGUGAGAUGAGAUUAAAGAACUGCGAGUUCCAAUCCUUAAACUGAUGUUUACUUAGCUGGGGCUGGGAAAAGACAUUUUUCUGAAAUAUUAGAACUUGUUGAGCAAGUUCUUUUAUUCAUAUCUUAGAGAAAUCAGAGUUCCUCACUUGGUAGAUACUAUCAUAUUUAAGUUUCUGCUAGUUUCUAUCUUGCACGGAUCACCUGGUAAGGCCUAAACUAAUAUUCUGGAAAUAUGAGACCCAAACAGUCUCAUGGUUAGAUCUGUUUCCAAACGUACUUUUACUUAGAAUUGCUGUCACUUUUGUGUGUUCUGCAAUGCAUUAAACAUCUACUUGGCGGUUGAUAUCUUGAUGACGAUGCCAAUAUGAUGAAGUUGCAAACAUUGGUGCUAGCUUAUAUAUUUCAAUUACUUGGUAUAUAUUGCAUUCGUUAUGGUAUCCCUCAAAUGAAAAAAGAAAAUUCUGGCCCAUAAAUAUUUAUACUUAUAACUUACUAACCAAAAAUCUAUUAGACAAUGUAAAUCGAUUAAGAAUUCUUUGUCAAUGUCUUAUAGUAUUAUCAGCACCAAUUAUGCCAUGUUCAUCAAUAUAGUAGACCUCAACAAGAUGAAAUCAUAUGAACUUUUCGUCAACUAUUGCAAAAUCAUCAGUUUCCUUAUUACAGAAGUGAGAAUUAUAUUAAUAAUUCUUCAGUCUAGUGUUGCAUUUACUAAGUUGUUGUCUUUGUAGUUUAGUUUGCAGGUGGAGAAGCAUUUAGAGACAAAACAGGAUGCCGAUGCCUAUGUUCAAUACAUGGAUAUGCUGUUGAAGAGGGCACUUGAAAUGGCCAGUACUCGAAGCAAGUGUAUAAUUUAACAUUUGUGAACAUGAGAUUUAUAUCAAGUGAAAUGUUUGUGACUGGAGACAGAUUCAAGUAAGCAUUGGCUAGUUUGACUGCCAAAAACUUGGUACUCUGAAUUAUGACCUUGUAGUAUUGACAAGAAGAAAGCUUUCUGUUUUGCAUGACUUGGAAACUCUCUUUGGUUGAUGAAAAGAUUUUAAGGAAACAUCUCAGAGCAAAUAAAUCUAGGUUUUCAGAGAAUGUGGAUGUUUGAUAUGUAUAUCCUACUACUAAUUGAAUGCAAAGGCAAAAAGAUAAUAGUAUACAUGUGGUUCCAGUUUGAUAAAUAAUGAGUGAUGCAGAAUAUGUUUACAUUCUGAUGCCUGAAAUAAGCUCAACUCAAAGAAAAGGCAAUCUACAAGGAAUCGAGGCCUGGGAUCGGUAGGUCUCUCUACUGAUGAGCCGACUACAAUAGCUACAUUGGAUACCUUGUCAAGAUCUGGGUCAUAUCAACUAUGAUUUCAACAUAUGUUACUGAAUGAUCAUGCUUGGCUUACAUUAGUGUGUUCACUAGGCUCUAACUUGUCAUGAACAUCCCUGGUACUGCACCUUACACAGCAGCCUUGUGGAAUGACAGAACCAGUUGCUGCAAUGCUGGUGUUGUUGGUUGAAAAGGUUGGUUAUAUAAAUGAAAUUUUCUAGCAGUGUUUCCCUAAGGUUUAAUAAGCAUUAAAUUACAGUUGCUGCAAUGCUGGUGGUGUUUUCUCUAGGAUCGACACUGAACCAAGUAGCCAAUCUGUCAAAAGGCAGCAUGGAGGUCACCCUUCAAUGAAGAUCCAAGAAGAUGAAGUUAGCCAACUUGAGUUGCUGAAGGAUUCGUAUCUCCCUCAGGUAAGCCAACAAUGAGACACAGCACAUCUUUCUUCUGAUCUCUUGUUUGUACCUUCACAUGUGACUAACUUGGAUCCUUUCUGACCUACUCACCACUAGCUUAUGCAGAUGUUUCAGAUGCUUUUUGGUAGGACUUGUUCAUCUCUUCUUCCUGACCAAGUCUCCAUGAAAUGUAUGUUACCUGCAAAUCACCUAGACUAAUUCAAGCUUUGUGAGAUUAACUGUACCCGAUGGAUCAAUGCCUUCUUCUCAAAAACAAAUCAUUGGAUAGAUAAUGCACAGAAAACAUAAUCUGGUUGCAAUCUAUUACAUGGUGGCAUUUCACAAGACCCAUAAAUAUACAUUUGCUGUUCUUUGUUCUCUGAACAGUGGAAAUUACACUUUCUUGAAACCAAGAGACAGAGGAAGUUAACCGUAGGAAGAUGACUCUCUUUCUUUCUUUUAUGGUUGUCAUUUCUUUCUUUGACUGCAUGGAUCAAAUAUAAUUGAUUUCUCAUUCUUUGUGGAGAGUUCAUCCCUGAUGAAAAUGGAGAAACUGGUUCCUUUCUUCCUUGCUCUUCUACAAUCCUGAUCACUUAUCCUGCUCCUAACACAGAACAAAGGAAGAAGGUAACAAGAAACUCCAAAUGAUCUUUCUUAAGAAUACAAUUGAAGAUUAAUAGCAGGUGUUGUAAACAUGUAAGCAUCUUACAUUUGAUUUUUUGCAGUGAAGAAUUGCAUCAUGGAUUGAUAUAUCAGCAUAGCUGUUGCAACAUUCUCUGCUCGAGCAGGAAUCACUCGUCCUCCGAGAACUCCCAGCCAAGUUCGUGCAGCUCUUCUCUGAUCUUGAUGAAGUCAAUCUCAAGGCUUUUACCUUCUCACAUAAGUGCAUCAGAAAGCACAUGUAUCUCCAUAUAACCUUCUUCAGACAUCCAGCACAGUGCCUCAACUUUGCAUUCCUUGAAGCGAGACUUCUGGAUGAGGGUGUGUAGUGUGCUGAUUGGAAGAGAGUCGAAGAGAUCAAGGAUGAGGAUAUACUCCGGCAGUGGUUGGGCAGGGAAAGAAGCGAUCUUGAUGAACUCAGCGACUCAGAUUUGUCGAGAACAGGCAACUGAAGAAGACCCUUGGAGAAGAGGAUGUGAUCUGAAGACUGUGAUCUUGGCAGAUCAAAACCAAAGCCAUUGGCAUCGAUUGCCCAACGCAGGGAGAUGCAUUCAGGGUCAACUUCAAUGAAGGAGCUGCCGUCUUGGGUGUCGAAGGAGCGGUGGCUGUCACCAAGGGAGUCAAGUGAGGAUUUGAUGCACAUCAACCACCUGUAAGAGUUGCAGCUCUCACUCAAGACCUGUUCUGAGUUCUCCAUGGAAGCUGCAAGAGUGGGGAUGAUGUAGAAGUGGAGGGGUGAAGAUAUAGAGCAACUUGAGGAAUCAAAACAAGGAAGGCACAUCAAAUAAGUUGUUGAUUGAUGAGGUGACAUUUGAUGCCUCCAUGAUGAAGCCAUGGAAGCAAUAUUUCCUGGUAAUAUUCCUUUUCCAUGACAGGAUAAGAAUAUUUUCUCCCCAUACUAUUAAAGAAUAGAAAGAGAGAGAGAGAGAGAGAGAGAGAGAGAGAGAGAGAGAGAGANNNNNNNNNNNNNNNNNNNNNNNNNNNNNNNNNNNNNNNNNNNNNNNNNNNNNNNNNNNNNNNNNNNNNNNNNNNNNNNNNNNNNNNNNNNNNNNNNNNNNNNNNNNNNNNNNNNNNNNNNNNNNNNNNNNNNNNNNNNNNNNNNNNNNNNNNNNNNNNNNNNNNNNNNNNNNNNNNNNNNNNNNNNNNNNNNNNNNNNNNNNNNNNNNNNNNNNNNNNNNNNNNNNNNNNNNNNNNNNNNNNNNNNNNNNNNNNNNNNNNNNNNNNNNNNNNNNNNNNNNNNNNNNNNNNNNNAGAGAGAGAGAGAGAGAGAGAGAGAGAGAGAAACUUCAACUGGCCCUUUGAUAUGAGCUAGGCCAUGGGCUCUGCCUUUGAGGCUGGAGAAGCCCAUUCAAGUCCAUCACUCAAACCUCAUACAAGGUCUACUACCUCAUCACCAACCUUACUGUAGGCACACUGCAGCAUGCAGUGAACACUGGUGUAGUUGUUUGCAUAUCUUUAGAUCUAGAAAAUUCAUGAUUCAAUCUAUGUUUCAAUGACUAGGGCUUAUCAAUGUGUUGAAAUAUAAUGCAAACCAUGUUCAUGCAGAGUCAAAGAACAGCACACAAACAUGCUUAAAGCUCCUCCUAACACCUAAUGAUCACUAAGCUUGGUGCCCAAAUCCUGAAUCACUAAGCUAUUCUGGACCCAACUAAUCUCACCUACCCAGCUGACAAUACUUAACAAACAAAUCAAAUCUAGCCCAAUUAGAUUAUGCUAAUCUAUCUUUAUUUUGUCCUACUUAGCAGUCAACACUUUGUUUAAUAAUCACAACAUCUGACAGAGUUGCAUCACAACACUGUUGACAUGUCAACUCAUCACUACUACUCAGAUGGACUUUUGGCCAAGUAGAACCUGUUCUAUUUUGCUUCUUGUUUCUGCUCCAGUUGAUAAUGCCAAAUUGUUCGAGUCAAACAUGGACAUAUCCUUCCACGAGUCCUUCGUCCUCUCAUACUUUAAUCAACUCUAAUAAUUUUCCUAAACAGUGAUUUGGAUUCCAAACCACAUAAUUAAUUAUAUGUGUGUGUGCACGCAGAUUUGAAGUGGAGCAGAGCAACAAAAGUCCAAGAUUCCUCCCUCAGGAUGAGACCGAGAGCUCAAUUACUUUGACUUCCUUGGCAUACGUUUCUGCUUGCAAGCAGACAACCGGAAAGCUGUCCCUUUGCCACCUCCCACACUUGCCCUCUCUCUCUCCCCUCCGGCGGGCCCCUGUCCUGCUCUCACCAAUCAACCCCUUUGACUCUACUGCCGCCUCCCUCGGCCCCACCGCACCCACCCAACGUCUGCUCCUUUUCUCAACCUCCCCCGGCGCUGAUCCUAAUUGCUGCUACGACCACUAUCAAGGCAGGUACCAAAGCGGGGAGGCGAACCAGCGAGAAGAAAAGAAUUGCGAGUCUGCGCCACCAUGAGACUUCACCCUGCAACAAAGAUAAGGGGGAGAGGCGGAGGAGAAAGCAAAAGGGUGGCAGGUGGGCUCCCGCCCUCUCUCUACUGACCACGUUUCCUCAUGCUUUGCGUGCUGCUGUCGUUCUUUCCGGACUUCCCAAUCCCAAAUGGAAAACAAAUAUUAUGUUAAUCCGAAUACAUAUAUAUUUAAUAGCAAGUACAGACAGGGCAGUCAGUCUCUGAACGCCAUUUGACUUGCAGGCUUUUCCUCGUCUCUUCCCUUUGUACUGCGAAAAGGAAACGUCGAGACUCCUGCAAACGAUUCCCCGACGGGCGGUCGGGGAAACGGGUUCACCCUCCUUCCGACUUAUUGUGCCAGUUCUCCGUUUACUUUUGUCUUCGGAGAGGGAUCGCAUCCACGGUUGUGUUUCAAAUGGAAGCAUACAAUCCGAAUCACCGCCGUCUAGAUCGGUAACUGGAUCUCUGGCAGCGCUCCGAUCGCGGGUCGGAUCCGCUACAGCGUCUGUUGGAGAGGAUCCCGUCCCGGGGAGCGUCAGCGGUUGCAUGCGGGUGCGAGACAGCGGCUCGUGCUCCUUUGACUCCGUGACAUCGACGUCGCUUGUCGCGCCGUCCGAUGGAUUCCCUCGCCGAGACGUGGCUUCCUACCGGCGGUCCGAUGGUCCGGUCCCCGUUCGGCGUAAUUUCUCGCGAAACCCACGGGCGGAGUCGGCGGAGCGAAGUUGACUUGCGUCGCACGGAGGCCACGUCAUCGAGAGUCGCGCCACGUCAGCGCUGUCCCCAAGGCGGGCCGGCAGCAGAGAAGCCGCACCAAAGCGCCCCCUCCUCUCUUUUUAUUCCCACCAACACUCUUCCGUACCUUUCGUGUUCGGCCGCACAGCUACCCGCCCUUUGAUUGGCGGAUGUUGUGGGGCUCAUGCGGGCGCCACUGGCAAAACCAGCGAACAACCAAUCGGAACGGAGACGGGUGGGUCGAGUGGAGGAGUCGUUUUACGUUUUAUUCCCGGUAUUUUGAAUUAAAAUGGAGGGGAGGGAGGAAGAAGAAUUAUUAUAUAUAUUAUAAGAGAUUAAAAUAAAUCGAAAAAAUGGACCAAAUAAAGACGGGUUGAUUUGGGUGGGGAUGGAGUGAGCCGUCUAGCCUUCCCCGUCUCCUUCCGCCAGAGAAGAUAGCAGAGCGGAGUGCGCGUGUCAGCGAGGGAUUUGUUGGGGAUCGAUCGCCAUGGGGAGCGGCGCCUCCCGUCACGGCCUCCUUCACUGCCUCCGCCCAUCCGCUGGCGCCGCCGAUGUCGGCGACUCCGACGGCGGUCGCCCGACCUUCGAGCUCGGCCCGCUGGAGGAGACCCUCGGCCAUUCCUUCUGCUACGUCCGCUCCUCCUCCCCGGUCCACUCUCGCGCCUCCUCCGUCUCCUCGGCUGGCGGCGACGGAGGCGGGGAGACCGCCUUCAAGACCAUCUCCGGCGCCUCGGUCUCCGCCAACUCUUCCGCCCCUCUCCCGCUCUACGACGCCGCUGGCCGGCCGCACCCCGCCGGGUUCCGGAGCUCCUCGUCCUUCUCAGCUCUUCCGCUCCAGCUCUCCGCCGCUGGAUGCGGCGGCGGCUGCGCGGCAUCCGGGCCGCUCGAUCGCGGGUUCUUCAUGUCCGGCCCGAUCGAGCGCGGGGCGCUUUCCGGGCCCCUGGAGCCCGUUCCCUUCUCCGGUCCUCUCGUGAAGAAGAAGCGCCGAGGCAUCGCCAGGAGGUUCCGUAAGCCGCUGCUUCUCCGGCGGAGCAUCUCGGAGAAGAACCGUCCGUGGGUUUUCCCCCUCCGCAGCUUCCCGUCGCGGCAAGGCGAUCAGCAAGAAGACCCCGCCGCGGCCGCCACCGAGGGAAACGUGCAGUGGGCCCACGGGAAGGCUGGGGAGGACCGGGUCCACGUGGUCGUCUCCGAGGAGCAGCGGUGGCUCUUCGUCGGGAUCUACGACGGGUUCAAUGGGCCGGAAGCCCCUGAAUUUCUCGUCGGCAAUCUCUACCGUGCGGUGUUCAACGAGCUCCGAGGUCUGUUUUGGGAAGAGGUGGAGGAGGGUGGCGCUGAGGAUGAGGGCUUAGAGGAAGGGAGCGAGAAAAAGGUCACCUUUCAAGAAGAUUCCAAGGUCGCAAGGCGGCUGUGGGAAUUCCUCGCCGAGGGUCACGGCGAUGGUGAAUUGGACUUCUCCGCAGGGUCGGGCGGGUUCGCGUUCACUCUGUCGAAGCUGAGGUAUGGGAUCGGGAGCUGGCGGAAGGAGGGUCGGAGAAUGUGGUUCCCCAAGUACAGAUAUGAUUCGGAAGCGAAGGCCAAGGAGAUCAAGGAAGUGACGGGCAGAAGCAGACGCAGGAGGAGAAAGAAGGGCCCUGUCGCAGAACACGGGCUGGUGUUGGCAGCGCUUGCACGAGCGUUGGAGGUCACCGAGGUGGAAUACUUGGAGAUGACGGAUAGGGUGAUGGAUUGCAAUCCUGAGUUGGCGCUGAUGGGAUCCUGCCUGCUGGUGGUCUUGAUGAGGGAUGAGGACGUGUAUGUGAUGAAUGUGGGAGACAGCCGGGCAAUCGUGGCACAGUAUAGACCACAGGGGCACAUCGAAGGGAGAAACAAUGGUAGCUUUGGGGCAGAUUUGGAGAAGGCCAAUGUGAACGAGGCAAACAAAGGAGUUGAGGGGAAUGGAGAGAGUAUGGAGAUUGAAGGUUUGAGUAGAGGAGUGAUAGAACUGGGGGCAUUGCAGCUAUCAACUGAUCAUAGUACGAGCAUUGAAGAGGUAACACUGCAUUGAAGAAGAUGUAUCUAGUUUACAAAUUUGUUUAGAUCCCAAGAAGUUUUCCUUUUACGGUUUAAGAGAUGGUAUAAUGUUCAACCUUUGGCUAUAUAAUUGUUCCAUACUUAGAAGAACAGAGGUUACACGCAAAUUGGCUAUCUGCCUUGGUUUCUCAGCUGUAGUUUGGAAGUAGUUUUGAUUUCCUAUCUUUAUAUGUCUAUAGGGAGCUCUUAGAAUGAUACAGCAUAGUUCAAGGCUGAGUUUGGUGGUGGUGUUCACUUGCACACAGUAGGUUUCACCUCAUGGAGCAUUUUGAGUAAUCUACCAGAUUUAGCAUUUGCCUGUAACGUGCAUUUAAGCAUAUUGUAUUUUUCUGUUAAAUGAAAUUAUGUUUCUGCAGGAAGUCCUUAGGAUAAGACGAGAACAUCCAGAUGACAAUAAAUGCAUUUUCAAUGAUAGAGUAAAGGGGCGACUGAAAGUCACACGAGCUUUUGGUGCUGGUUACCUCAAGCAGGUAAUGAUGCAUUCCAGUUUGGUAUAUGUCACCAACUAAUCAUAAAAACAGACCAUCAAUUUGUAAUUUCUGCACAAAAGAUGAAAGAAGAAAAAAGAACAAUUUGCUGCAUUUUUUUAUUUACUAUAACUUUCUUGACUUUCCAUUUCUGCAGCCCAAAUGGAACAAUGCAUUAUUGGAAAUGUUUCGGAAUGAGUACAUCGGAACCGCACCAUAUAUAUCUAGUACACCUUCGCUUUGUCACCAUAAACUGGGAGCAAACGAUCACUUCUUGAUUCUCUCUUCUGAUGGUCUUUAUCAGUAUCUGAGCAAUGAAGAGGUUGUAUUACAUGUUGAAAGUUUCAUGGAGAGAUUUCCAGAUGGAGAUCCUGCCCAAAGUUUAAUAGAAGAACUACUCUUCCGUGCAGCCAAUCAAGCUGGUAAGAUUUUCAUCUGCACUUAUUUUCUCAGUUGUGUAUUAAGUGUCGAAGUAUUCUACUAGAACACAUGUUUGUUGCACUUGUUUCGGUUGAAAUUUGUACUUGGCUCCAGAAUGGUUCUCAUUGAUUUUCAUGUUAAAUCUCUAGCAAUAUUCUUAUUUUGGUCACUUCUACAAACAAAUAACAGCAUUGUUUUUUUGCAUAAGUUGGCAACUUCUAAAAUAACGCCUUUCCAUGGUUCUUGUACAAAAUGAAAGUUGUCCAUGGGAUUUCUUCUCGUUGCCUUCCACCCGAGCAGUCUUAGAUAUCCUUUUCAUUAUAUGACGUUAAUAUGGGGUUCCUAUUAAAGGAAAUGCUAAUAAAUUCAAGAUUCAUCUCCAAAUAAUUCUACAUAUAGCACAUUAGAUUAGUAGCUAAACAUAUUAUGAAAAUGGCAACUGAGUAGACAUGCAAAGAAAUCCAAGCCACAAAGUUAAUGAUGUCUAAAAUAAGUUUCUCAUUUGCUGCUUAAAAAGUAGUUGCAUUCGUAUUGAGAAAGCAAAAUGUCAUCAUAGUACAGUAAACCUUUUCAAGAUUUAGCAGAAAGUUUUGGUGUAAAGACAGGUGUCUACUUUUCUUUGAUGAGGUGUAUAGAUAUUCAAAGUUUAUAAUGAUGUUAUGGAGCUGAUAUUAGAACUAUGCUCAAAAUAUUUCAAGUACCAUGUAGAUUACACUUUGAAGCCGAAAUCUAUUUGAAAAGUAUGAUUGUUUUUUAUUUAGAGUUUAUGUAAGAGAAUAGGAUUAUAUCUUGUUAGAUGGUUAAUCCAUAUCUUGAAUGAUAUAUUAAAAGGUGAAAUAUGCCAUAUGGUUGAACUGUCUAUUAAUGCCUUAUAUGUUGAGAAAUUCAGAUGUGUACUUUAUGUUAUGUAGUUAAAUGGACACUAACAUAACAGUACAACAGACACUAUAAAGUUUUGAAAGUGAACACAGUGGAAAUUGAAAAGAGGAGAUGAGAAACGUUUUGUAGUUUGUAGUUUCAUAAUAUGUUCAGAAAGAUGGAUGCUCCAUCUGGUGAAUAUGCUCUGGAGUAUCAGCCAAGAUUCUAGAUAUUUCAGGAAUGGGAGUUAGUUCUUCAGUGUCAGGAGGCCAAAUGAACUUCUUGCACAUGAUGUUUUAUCUACAAAUUUAAAGUUAUUCUUAUGUCUAAUGAUAAAGUAAAAGAAUCUUGGAUUUUAUCAUCAUCAGAUUGAAUUCUGAUUCAAGAACUUGAAGAAUGAAGUAUUUACACGUGAAAAUAAACAGUUGAGUGUGUUUCUUCUCAGGAUUUUAGAGUUUCUUUUAAAGUAUGAUCAACCUAGGAUAUUUUAUCUCCUAUAUAUUCAGAUUGUCAAGCAUUAGAUUCUCUUCCAAAAUGUGAUGACAUCAACUGAAAACAUUGAAUUUUUUCUUUUCAAGAUAUUCUUUUAUAGGUAAUUCAAAAGCAAUGAACCAACAGGAUUAAUGCAUCCGAUGAUACCCUAGAUUUCAAUGCCACAUUAAUUUAGUUGACAGGUAAAUCAUUCUAACCAGAAAUUGUUUCCUUGGAUCUUGAUAACUUAAUGACUAUACAGUAGAAAUAUAGAAUUAUAGAUACGCAAUAAUGUUUAGAAUUUUGUUUACUCUUGAGGUUUCAUGAAUAACAACACAAGGGAAACAUUGGAACCAUCUGAAAUAUCAAUAAUGCCAAAACUCAAAACAAAAUCAAUUUGAAUAUUGGGGCUUGGCUCUUGAAGCCUGACAGACCAUAGGUAGACUUAGGUGGGAAAUUUGUUUCUUUCAUAGAUGGCACUCGGAUGUAUGAAGCCUUAAUUGAGGACACGCUUAACAAAUUCAUCCUUCCUAAGAUCAUUUGGUCUCCGGAACACCAUGUUCUGAAAGACACUUUCACAUUGGCAUUUCACCCAGUGCACAUCAUGAAGCACUAAUGUUGAGCUGAAGCAAUGUGAACUGCAUUAUGGUCACCAUAAAACAAGUUAUAUAUUUCCUAUCUGAAUGUGGAUUGAUCACUUAAGAACUGAAGUUAUCAAGAUUCAAGAAUCUUUCAAUUUCAAAGCAAAUUGGAUAGAUGCUGCUCUCUUUUCUUAAUAUUGUGCAGAGUCAUAGUUUUUCCAAAAUUUUGAUGAAACUGUGUCAGCAGAUUCUAGUUAUUCAUACUUAUGCUUGAUGAGCUAACUUGCAGGUUUAGACUUCUGUGAACUAUUGGAUAUACCUCAGGGGGAUCGCCGAAAGUACCAUGAUGAUGUUACCGUGAUGGUUAUAUCUCUCGAAGGGAGAAUAUGGAAGUCAUCAGGAAAAUGUGUCGCAUGCUAGGAACUGGAUGGUUUUUGUGCUUUUGGUUUGACACAACUCCCUUGCAUUACACUGCUGAUUCAUCUUUCACAAUGAUAAAUGUUGACAAGCCAUCACCCCAAAGUACAAGAUCAAAUAUGUCUAAACCAGAAACAUCACCGGUUGGCGCCUGUCGAUGUUGCUCAUCAACCGGUUGACAGAAUUGGUGUGAGACAAGGAGAAGAUGGAGUAUACCCAGGAAGAGGCACAAAGAGGCUCUCAUGUCUCAUUGCUUUGUAAAGCUUUUCGAGAGGACGGUUUACAUGCGAAUGAUAUACAGACGUUGGGCCUUUCCCACUUCAUCAAAAUGACAUGUACUGCAAUCUCUUGGGAUUGCUCUCAGCAAAGCAAGAUUUCCCAAAGUUAUAAAUUCUUUUGGCAGAACUGUGUGAGUUUAUGUAGCAAGAACGUUGUUCAGCAAGUGCAGUGUGUUGUACUCCAUCAAGGGAUCAAAAUGCAUCAAUGAACAGAACAUCGAGCACCAUGACUUCAUGAUUGCUUGACAACGUAUCAAAUUCUUGACUCGAACUCCUUUGAAAAUUGUUUGUGGAAGACUAACCAAUUGUUCUCUUAACUUCUAGUGUUAUGGGAAUGAUCACCGUUGAGUACUUUCAUCUUCUCUGUUUCCAUGCAUUUUGAAACAAAUUAAAAUUAAAUAAUAAUAAAUGUAUCUUUCGAUAUUAUUUAAAAAAAAUUAUUUGAUUUGUAGAUUCGAUAUUAUAUAAAAAAAAUUAUUUGAUUUGUAGAUAUAUAAAGUGAUGUCGAUUUAUAAAGAGAAUUAGAUUGUCUUCUUCUCUUUUGUUUUGUUUUUCACAUGACUAUUAUAAAAGAUAGAUUAAGAAUUAAAGGAGUUUAUAGAAGGUCCUAAAAUGGUAAUUAAAAGAGUCCCUCUUAUCAAAAUCAUCUGUUAAAAAAAUUAUUAUAAUAUCACUUUCUUUCUAUUGGUCUAUGAUAUAUCUUACUUAAUGAGAUCAUGAAAUCUAGCAUCUCCUACUUAACACAUUAAUUAAUAAGAUAUAAAAAAUAAAAAUAAAUAAAAUAAGAGGUUAUUUAAAAAUAAUUUUAUUUAAUUGAAUUAUGAAACAUUAAAAAAAUAUUUUACACAUGUACACAAAUUUUAUAAAAUAGUAUAAUAAGUCUAGUAAAUUUAGAUUUUUUAUCAUUUAUCUUAAUUAUUUGUUUCACAUAAAUUUUAAUAGUUAUGUUUGUCAUUGUUCUUAUCAAUAUCUAAUACACAUAGUAUAAAUUGUAUAUAUUUUCAUACUAUUUAUAAGUAUAAAAAUUAUGAUUAUAUUACUAUUAUGCAAAGAACCUUCGGACUAAAAUCAAAUAAUACUAGAUCAAAUAUUAUAUGAUGUAUACCAUUCGAUUCUACAUAGAAAGUAAUAUGCAAAGAAUCUUCGGACUAAAAUCUAAUAAAGUCUUUACUUGAUCUAAAAGUACACUGUCGUUAUAUCUAAAAUUUAUAGUGAUAUUAAUCUUCAUGCAGAACUAGACUCGUCUUGUUUUUUCUUUCUAUUCCUUACAUUGAUCAUUCUGAAUAAUGGAUUAGGGAGAGAAUAAAUAUAUAAUCUUAAUAAUCGCUUUUUAUCAUUUAUAAUCAGAAUCCAAUCAUCAUUAUUUUCAUUACGACUGCCACUCAUUUUCGUUAUGAUCUAAUCCUUUUGAUCAAUUCAACAUCAGUCACUUUCGUCCUUUCACAUUAUGAAUCAGGUUAUAUCUCUUAUUUAUCAAACUUUCUCUGGUGAACAAACAUGUUGUGGCUGAUGAGUUAACUCGGCUUGGUCCACGGGUUUAUGUCGGAAGUCUUCUGUUGACUGAGCUGAAUGCCAAGGUAGAUCGUACCCUCGUGACACGGCUUAUAACCAAGAUAUACCUUAUCAUUUUGCAAGACUAAAACUAGGAAGAUGCAUUGACAAAUUGAGGCAGUGACAUCUUUUCGCCACAAAUAUGUGCGUCCUAUCUCUCCAUGUCAACUUGUUACCCUUUGACAAAAGCAAUAUCUCAGUUACAUAUGUUGCCCAAUCUUUUUUAUUUUUUUCCUCCAAGUAAUUAAACAACCUAUCAUCCUCUGCAAAAGACCCAAAUAAAUUAAAAGAUAUCAUUCAUUUCCAAAGAUGUUAGUUAGUAUGCUGAUAUGCCAAUUAAAUGCAUAAGUGCAUAGAGCUUCGAAUGUUUGCAAUUCCACAAAAUGAAAUGUGAAGGCCAAAGUAUUAUUAAUCUACAUGUGGGAUUGGUGAUGAUAUCAGAAACUAUGAGCCAUUAUUGCUGCCACCAAAUCACACCUUCAGAUGAAGAUGAAACCUCGAAAAGUUGACCGCUUCAAUGAAAGCGACCUAUACGGAUUAGAUUCUGGGAGAGACGUCUAAGCCAAUCAGUGGGAGUAAAUACUCUACAUGAAGAUCUCUCUCCAUGCCGUAAAUCUAUAGCUGGCAAGCAUUUCUUGCCGUUGACUUAUGCAUGUAUAUAUAUAUAUAUAUAUAUAUAUAUAUAUAUAUAUAUAUAUGUGUGUGUGUGUGUGUGUGUGUGUGUGUGUGUGUGUGUGUGUGUGUGGUUAUGGCAUCCUCUCGAUCCCUUACUGUCUUAUAUUAUCUCCUUCGUGCCGACUCUUUGAAGGCGAAGGAUUGAGUUCGACAGAGAGACCAUGGAUGAUGCUUCAAUCAUGUUCCAGUGCCCCAUCUCAAUGGAGCCAAUGGAGGAUCCGGUGACGAUCGCCACCGGCAUCUCGUACGACAGGGAGUGCAUCGAGAAAUGGCUCUUCGUCUACAAACAGUCGACGUGCCCGGUCACCAUGCGGCGACUGCCGAACUCUGAUCUCAUUCCUAAUCACACCCUCCGACGUCUCAUGUCGUCCUUCCGGGAGGCCGCAGGGGGAGGGCCCGCCAAGCCGCCUCCACGCUUGCCCGACGUGAUCGACCACGACGAACUGGUUUCGCUGCUGAAGAACGUCCAAACGGGGCCCUUCAGGGUCACCUACCUGAGAAAACUACGGGCGCUCGUCGACAAGGACGUCGAGUUGCAGAAGGAUUUGAUUCGAUUGGGAGGCGCCCAAGUGUUGGGCCGCAUCAUGGCGUCCCAUGGCGUCGUGGAGUACUGGGACUUGGACGAUUUCCGAGAUCGCGACGAGGCUGUCGGCGUCCUGGCUCUCCUCCCCUUGUCGGAUGAGGCCACGGUGGAGCUCCUAUGGAAGCCCGACUGCGUGAGAUCGAUGAUGGAGAUCCUCCAAAGUGGAACCGCCGAGGCCCAACUCCGCACCAUGUCCAUCUUGACGAAGGCAUCGAAGACCAACAACGAGUGGACCAACACGGUAGCGGCGGAAGACGGCGAUGUCGUCAAGUCCUUGUUGGACCUUGUGUCCGAUGAAGUCUCAACCAGGCUAACCUCCUCCUCGUUGGACGUACUGCUCGAGAUCGUCGCGACCUCGAAGAAGAACCGCCUGAAGGCGAUCGAAGCCGGCACGAUUCGCGUCUCGGUCGAGAUUCUGACGGGCGCAAGUGCGAGAAGGUGUUGCUGCUGCUCACGAGGCUCUGCAAGUGCCCCGAGGGGCGAUCGGCCAUGGCCGACCACGGGCUGGGCGUGGCGGCGGUGUCCGAGAAGAUACUGCGGGUGUCGAGGCUGGCGACCAAACUGGGCGUCAAGAUCUUGUGGUUGAUGAGCAGCAAUCGGCCCACAGAGCAACUGCUGGAGGAGAUGACGGUGGUCGGGUCGGUGGCGAAGCUCCUGGCCUUGUCGCACAUCGAUGGGCAGUCGUCCACCAAGAAGAGAGCCAUGAGGAUGAUGAAGUUGCAUGGGGCUGCAUGGAGGCGGUACCCCUGUGUUCCUAGCGACCUGAACGACUUCCUGAGAUCGUCUCGAUUCUCAGUAAAUUUUGUAGAGAAAGCAGAAGCUGGAGAGGUUUGAAAUCAUUCUCCGGGAACGACGAUGAUCUCAAACUCUUUGGUGUGUAUUGAUCUCAAUGAUACGUCUUACGUCUGACUCCACGUGUCAACAUCAUGUACGUCAUUAUAUUUAAUAGCAAUUUCUUUCAUUUAAUAAAGCCCAAGAUUUACAAUAGUCUCAUACCAACUUUAUUUAUGUAAUAUAGUUAUAUUGUUUACGAUACACCCAACAGUAUAUAUAUAUAUAUAUAUAUAUAUAUAUAUAUAUAUAUAUAUAUAUAUAUAUAUAUAAACGAUAUAUCGAUGUAAUGACACACGAUAGAUUAGCACGGACCAAUACAAUACCAGUCUGAACUUUGUAGAGAGAAGGUGGCAUGCCCAACAUAAGAACCUCCUUUUAUUUUCAUCAAUACUCCUAGGAAGACAAAACCAGUUAAACAUUCUAUAUAUCUAAUAACUUUGAUUUGUAUGGAGAGAGUCAACGGGGAAGAAGAAGAAGCUUCCUCAUACCUUUCACAUCUUUGACACAUAGUUGGUAGCUAGAUUGCGUCUUGAUGGGAGUUUUAGGUCCUCCCAGUUUGCGUCGUCGACCUCGGCAAAAUACUGAUCAAGCACCUUGGAAUCUACCAGAUCCAAUCUAGGAGGCUCCCACUGCAAACAAGGAUUAGGUGUUUCAUGGAAUCUUAAGUUUUGUUAAGGAUCAGUCGUCAAGAACCAGACCUUCGGAUUCCUGUCUUUAUCCACCAAUAUAGCCCUGAAACCCUGCAGAAGAAUUAAGGGUUUUAGAUGACAGAGAAGGAAGCAUGUCAGGUGCUUACUGUGAGGUACCUCUAAGAAAUCCUUGCUGGCUUCGAGACGUAAUAUAUGACAACACAAUCUGAAUUCCUUCGUAAGACAUCGAUCAACUCCUUGCAGUCUCCCUUCUCUGAUCUGGAUCCUCGCAUUAAGUAGUAGUUCAACACAGAAUCAGCAACAUGCACCAUCAUGCUCAGACACUGAUAUAUAUAUAUAUAGAAAGCUUGAUCCAGAUUAAUAUCGUGGUGAACAAAAACUGAACCAAAUAAGUCUGAUUAGACUUAAAUUUGUGGCUCUUUCAAAGAUAAUGUAAGUCUGUCUAUCGCCAAUCAAGCAAGUGCAAGACCACUUAAUAUUAUUUCCCAAGGUGAAAGGAAACCCCCUCUCCCCCUCAUCAACGACUAUCAUCCUACAGAUAUGUAGUAAAGGCAAAACAAUGUGACAUCAAUCAAAGUAGAGAAAUGUGACAUAAAUGCAUCCGAGAAAUUCAUGCAGACAUGCAUCCAAAUGAGACAAAAAGACGUAAUUGAGAUAUGGAAAGUGCACCAAUGUAGGAUGAUGACAACAACAAUAACGAUGAUGAUAAAAAUAAUAAGAACAGUAUACUAAUAAUGACCAUAAAAGAACUCCAAUAUAGGAUUUGUUUUGAAAUACAAUGACAGCAUUAACAUUGAAAGAUGAUAAGAAUGUCAGGUGGCAAAUGAGUAAUCGUACUAUAACGUGGCAGCAAGGUUUGUCAUCUUCAGUCAAUGUUAUAAUGAUAUAGUGAGAAUUUGCCAAGUGGGAACACAAAUACAUAUCCAACACGCUUGUGAAUGGAAACACAAGAUUUCCAAGUAGCAGUUUAGUGAUUCUAUGCUAUGGUAAUAUAAAUUUUUAAAGAUCUUUUACAUAUAUAUUAGAGAGGUGACAUUUAAAAUUAGUUAUCUUUAGUAUUUUGGUCCAUAUACUUUCAAAAGUUAUAUGGAAAUCUUUAUAUUUAUGAAAAUAAAACAUUUAACCUCGUUUCUUCUCACGCUAUCAAUUCUACUGACGAAAAUAUCGUACGUGCUCACUGAUAAAUCCUAUAGUAUUUCCAUCAUUAGAGUCGAUGAAAUGAGGAAAACGAGUUAAAUAUUUUACUUUCUUAAGUAUAUGGAUCCAAAUAUAAAUUUUGAAAGUAUAUGAAUCGAAAUAUUAAAGAUAACUAAUUACAAAAGGUAAUAUGUAAUUAGUAUCAAAACUUAGAGGCCCUCAACCUCCUUUAUAGAACUUAAAAAGAAAGGAUAGAAGAAAACAAUAAGUGUUUUUAUAGAAAAAAAAUACAAACAACAUUAAUUUUAAUGUAAAAAACUUAAUAUAUUUUAAAGGUAGAUCACAGCAUUCAGCCUUUACCACAUAUUAGAAGAUUAAUUUGUUGUAUAUGUAUGACCACAACAUCCAUUAAUAGGCAUGAAGCUUAAUAACAUAAUUACUGAUUUCAAGAUGAAAAAUGUUUAUGCGUAUCGACAGAAAAGGGCUCAUAGAAAGAAAGCCCCAUACCGAUCUAAGAGUGACUUUUAGACUGAUAGGAGAUGCCUUUUUCAAUGCCUGAAUUGCAACCACAAUCCACUCAUCAGCCAUGCUAGCAGAUUCCUUCUCCUGAAACGAUUAGAGCGAGUGUGAACUCAGUGAUAAUGCAACAUGGAUGAACUUUAGAAAGAAGAAAAUGAGUAAUAUGUUCGCGGAAAGAUGCCAAUCAACUUACAAGAGCAGAGAUAAUUUCUUGGACCGUUUCUUUGGAGAAGCAUUUGUCAAUUAUAUCCAAUCUACAAGAUCAAGAAUAGAUCAAAACAUUGAAAAUCAUUGAAGCAUUAAGAUGAAUAGAUUAAGCGAAGUUCCAAAAAAAAAAAAAACCUUCCAUGUGAUUAAUGGCAGGACUAAUAAUCCAUUGAGGAUAAUAAACUAUCUAAAGUAAUAAAAAAUUAAAUAGAUAUGUAAAUUAAAGAUGAGUGUUAUACUAAAAACUAAGAUACAUAAGGGAGAUUGAAGGAUGACAAGUUUAGAUUAAAAAAAUAUCAUUUUUAUCAAACUAAAUUAAACUUAAUUAAGAUUGUUGCAAUAUUAAAAUUAUAUUAGUAAAAAAAGAAAAAAAAAACUUGAAAUGAGGUCGAAUAGGAUUGAACCCUAGAUCUUCAAACAAUCUCUUAAAAACAUAAACUUUAUUUUGGCCUCAUCCUUUUUACCAACUUGAUAACCCAUAACCCAUUUUCUUCUUCUUUAGCUAUUCUCUUAGCUUCUCUCGGGGAAGCUAUGUAACCCUAGCUCUAAGGAAGAUUAAGAUAAGAAAAACUUAACUCUUCUCUUACUAUACCUACGGUUUUAGUUUUACAUAUUAUAAGCUGAUUUUUUCAACUACUUUUUAAGUAAUCUAGACUUUGAAUUUAUCUAUAAUUUUUAAUAUAUUUUGGAUUAUUCUCUUACAGAUGGAUUAAAGUCUCUAGUAUGACCUUAAUGUAAGAUCGAUGCAUAGAGUUAUUACUAUGAUAAUCUAAUGUACUCAGAAUCCCCUAUUUUCUAAGAAGGGAUUAUGUUCAAGUUGAAUUAGCCUCCUUAGAGAUAUGAUUAAGCCUUAGCCUUUUGAUAUGCUUUAAAAGAUUCCCUUGGAGUUUUGUGAGAUUUAGAAUUGAGUGAAUAUUACCUAUGUACACCAAGAUAUUAGGUUUAUAAGUUUAGAUAGUUUCAAUCUAAUUUCAGUAUAAUAGAAUAGAUAUUGGUAGUUGAAUUAGGAGAGUAGUUUAGCCUCCAAAUAAUUUUAUUUUAAAAUAAAAUUUAGUGUGCAUUUAGUUUUAUAUCUCUCCUAGUAUUUUAUAAAAUUUUAUGAUAAUUCAAGAUCAUUUAGUCAACUAAAAUAGUGAAGUAAUGUUUCUUCGUAGAAUUAUAUGAUGGUUUGAUUGAUACUAACUAGUUUAUUUGAUUAUAAUGUGAAUUGUUAGAAAAUUUAUAGUGAAAUUUAAAUAAAAUUUUAGGUUCAGUAUAAUCUACUUUAGAAGAGAUUUUAUUAAAAUUUUUCAAUGAAUUAUUAUAAAUUAAUGAUUCAAGGGUUAAGGUUCUUAAUUAACAUAUCUCAUGACCUAUGCUUCCAAGUUUAUAGGUCUAUUACUCCCUAGCAAUGUGAUCUUUCCUUAACAUCUUAAUUUUUAAGUUUAAUUAGAUAAGUAUAAGUUUAAUUCAUAGUAAAAUAGUAAUCAUAUAAAUUAUCAUAUGUAUAAUGUAUUUUGGAAAACAUGUUUCGACAUAUAUAAACGUCAUGAGCUAGUUAUGAGCUAAAUGUGAAUGUAUAUAUAUUGUAAGUAUAAAAAUAUAUGAAUUUAUAUAAAAAUAUCUUAUAUGUAUACAUAUGCGAUGUGAGAGUACAUGUGUUUUCUAUGAGGAAUGCACGAGUAUGUUACAACAUGCGAUGCAUGUAUUUGCAAUGACUUGCAGUGUGAGAGUGCACAUAUGUAUUAUAACAUGCGAUAUGAGAGUGCACAUAUACACUAUGAUAACGUAUGACAUGGAAGUGUAUGUAUAUAUUAUGACGUGCGGUGUAGGAAUAUACAUAUAUACUAUGAUGUGCGAUGUGAGAGUACACGUAUAUAUUACGAUGACGUGAAAUGUGAGAAUGCACAUAUAUGUUAUGAUAUGGGGAAAGUUCAUGAUUUCCUAUAUUUUUUGCAUGCACAUAUCAGCAUUUCAAAUUCUUUGGAUGUAGCAUUUUACGCUGCUAUUUUCCACAUACCAUGUGUAAGGUCAAACGUCUUAUAUCAAUUAUUUUAAAACAUUAUAUAUAUAAUAUGAUGUAUGCUCAUCUGAAUAAAGCUAUAGAGACUUUACUUACUGAUUGAUUAUUCAUUGUAGAUCCUAUUUUGUAGGUAAGGAUAUUGGUACCCCACCCAAGUAAUUGAGCAGAGAAGAAAGUAUGUGUAAGCUCAUACCAACGCAGAUAUUGACGAUGACCUAUGGGCAUUUUAUGUAUAUAACUUUUAAAUAUGCAAUGGGUAUAACUUUUAAAUUUUAAGAUUAUUUAUUUUUUUACUAUAUUCAUAUCGAUAGUAGUAAUAUAAAUUAAAAUAUAUCAUCAUACUUAGUUAUGUAUGUAGAGUAUAAGUGGAACUAAAAAUAUAAUAUUACAAAUAAUUUGUACUAUAUUUUUCCGUAAAGAAGUGCACAAAAACAAAGAAUUGUUCCAGAAUCAGGUCAACCUUAUCCAACAUAGACCAGACAAGUUUAGUUCAAUCCAUCAAAACAUUGGUCUGGAUCAGAUGUAUGAAGUCAAGCAUAAUGUCUCUUAAUGCUGAGGCAGCCAAAUGCUACCCAACACAUUUAUUUAGGAUAAACAUCUGCAUUAGUUGUAGUAUUAGGCAACUGAUACUACAACUAAUGCAGAUGUUUGGUAACUUUUGUCUUUUUCUGCUUAAGGAUGUCUUAAAAAGAAUCAUAUAAGUGUUUUUUCAAAUCUCAGCUUCAUAUUUAUAAAUAUUUCAAAUUUGGUUUAUUAAAGUCGGAACAAUCAUCAAAGUUCUCAAUUUGGAUCAAAAUAUCACGACCGUAGAUAAUUGUUAAAGAGACACAAAAAGUAUAAUGAAUAAUAGAUUUGACAUAGAAAGCAAGAAUUUAAUGCUUCUACAAAAACAUAUCUGGAUCACCAAUUAGGCAAUGCAGAUCAUAAUCAUUUGGAAAAAGGAGGAACAAUAGAAACUGAAAAUUUAGCAUGGGAAAAUAAGAUGUGUUCGAAGACAAAAAAGCAAAAAACAAAAAAAACAAAAGUUGUAUCAGUAAAGUCAUCAGUUCACCAAUAUAAGCCUCCUCUUAUUGAGGUCAAUAUAUUAAUCCAAUUUCUCAAGAUACUUACUUCAUCGACUUAAAGAUGUCAAUAUGCUAUUCAGGACAAAAUGAACAACACUAACACAUGUUAUGUUUCAUUAUCAUUUCGGAGUAAUCCCCUUUCACUAUACACUGCCUUGUAUAUCUGACCUCUAAAGACUAUGCAGUCCCCACUGACCUGCCCUAUACUGAUGUAGUCACAAAUUAGCUCGAGGUUUCGCCUUUUCUCAUACAAAGCCUACUUGGUUUUCAAUCCACUUAGAAGUUUCUCCAAGCUCACCAGGGAAAAAGAAACUAAGAAGUUUCUUAAACAGAUGGAAUUAUAAGAAGAAAACAUUUUACUGAUAGGCUGCAAAAUAUUUCUUUUACUCUAAACCAGAUUUGCUUUCUCUGAAAUUUACUUCUCAAUGUCUAAUAUAAUCUGUUAUUACCUACAACGACGACAACAACAACAACAACAAAACCGUAAUCUAUUGUUGCUUGGACAAUAAAAAAGAAAUAGGAGAAAGAACUGAAGACAAAGAAGGAAAGAAUAUCGCGAAUUAACAAUCCAUAAUAACUCAAUGAAAAAUGAUGCAAGAAUUCACAAGACUAAGAAUUUUGCAGCAUAUGUUAAAGCUUCAUAAACAAAUCCAACAAUUGUUUCAGACUCCAACAGAUCCAUGGAACAAAAUAGAACACAAAAGGGCUGACAACACCGUGAGCUGGGAAAAGAUCAUAUCAUAUGAAACUAGAUUUGAAUACUUUUAAGUGAUUGAGAUUGUUUAUGGAAAGCUAACUGUAGGUGAAUUACAUAUGUUCCAAUAACAUGCAUAUGUACCAGAUACCCUUAACAUUCAUGCACAUGCGCACACAUAAAAUCACUGUGAUGAACAAACCAACAGAUGUUAGAAAGAUGUGGAAGAGGAGAGGGGGGAGUAAUGGAUCAUUAAGUUACCUA